UUUAAUCAAAUAAUUAAUGAAGAUAUAACAUGUAAAAUAUAAUAUAAAAAUUAAUAAAAAAAUAUAAUCACAAUAUAUAAAAUGUUAUAUAUAUAUUAAUUUUAAUACGUUAUAUAUGUUUAUGUAUUUUAUUAUUUAUUUUAUUAUUAAAAUAAUUUAAAAUAUAUUUAAAAUAAUAAAAAAAUUAUAAAAAAAUAAUUCACCCAGCGUAACGGGACGGUUAUUUCUAGUUAAGACAAAAGACAACCUACCUAAGAAUUAAAUUCCUUCGCUCCUUUCCUAGAUAGAACAUCCCUUUGUUUUUCUGGUCGCCUUUCCCAACGCCGUUUUUAUAUUUGGUUGUAGCCUCUUUCCACGAAAACUGCACUUGCUUGUCUCUCGACUCUUUUCUUAUUAUUAUUAGUAUUAUUUUUUUAUCUAGCAUCUUUUCUUUUGUCCAUGUAGACAAAUUCCUGGACAACCUUUCUUGCUAGAAAGAUGACAGGGGUUCGGGAAGGUGAUCAAAGGGUGAGUCUUGAUCUUCUUAAGCAGAAACUGGCCAACUUUGCCAAGGAAAGGGACUGGGAUUAGUUUCUCUCUAUUGGUUACCCCAGGCAAAACUUCAUGAAGAUUACUGUUCUUUCUCUGUAUGUAAUUUUGUUUUCUGGUUUUCUAAGUUUGUCUUUGAAUAUUAGUUUCCUCAUAAUUUAUCUCUAUGAUUUCUAUUGCCUAAACCGGAAUGACCCAAAUGUGAUUAAAAUUAAAAUUAUCCUCCAUUUAAUUUCCUAUGAUCCAAAAUCAAACGAUUUUAUUUGAUCCAACUUAUUUAAUAAAAUGAUCAAAAUUAAUUAAAUUAAUAACUCUUAAAUUUUAAUUAUUAAAUUUGACCUAAGUAAAAUAGUCCAACAAAAAAAAAAAAAAAACUCAUUAAUUUUUACCAAAUGCUUAAUCCUAAAUGGUCAAAAAAAAUAUCCGAAAAAAAAAAAGACAAUUUAUUUUCACAAAAAUGCCCCAGUUAUACUAAAUGGCCCAAAUAAUUAAUAAACAAAAUUGGCCCAAAACAUUGGAAGCAAAACUGGCCGAACAGUAUUUUCCUAGAUCAAUUUUGUUGAAAUUAAAAUUAGGCUUAAUUUAAUUAUUUUUGACCAUUUUGCUUAACGCCAUUAUAGUUAAUAGUUUUACAAAAUAUUUUGGGUUCAAAAUUAAUGGUUCUAUUUGGUAAAAUAUUCAACCCAAUUAAAUGGGUUCUAAAUGAAUUAUUUUGGUAUUUUGAUUAGCCUAAAUUUGUGAAUUAAAAUUUACCCAUUUCAUUAAUAAUUCAUUUAAUUCUAUAAAAGUCUAUAUAAUUAAUAAAAUUACCUUAUUAUUUCAAUAUUCACUUUAAAUCAAUUUAGUUGAUUUUUUUAGACCUAAUUUUUUUUUGUAUAUGCUUCCAAUAUUGCAUAUUUCUAUUUUGGUUAAAUUUAGUAUGAUAAUUUUGUAAAUAUUCUUAAAUUACACAAAUUACUAAUCAAAUUGAUUGGAGUCCUCCUGUUAUGGAUGUAAUCAUUAAGAUUUUUUAGAUUUUUCUUGUAAUUUUUUUCGAAUAAUAAUAAAGCAAAUUUCUUAUAAUAGUUGCAAUAUUUAUCAAGGUUUGUAGAAAAAGUAACACAUUCUUUGUUGGACUGAUUAUUUUUUUUAAAAGAUACUUGGAAAGGAAAGGAUUUUGGUUAGGGUAUAAUGUGAUUUAACUACCCUAUCAGUAGUAAGUCAUUCCAAGGUUAUAUCCGACCAGUUCUACAUUAUCCUCUGUAGUAUGCUCUAAGAAAACUUCAAAUAUGAAAUUAAUAGAAUAACUAUUACAAAUGAUUUUGUGCACAUGCAUAAAACUAUUUUGAGUUACUUUAUAAAUCCUUCAAUCCCAGUUUCAUCUUCAACUAUCAUUUAACAAGCAUUUUGAUAAAUGAUGUGAACUCUACAGUUUUGGGCAUAAUGAAUUUGAGAAUAGCUUAUAGAGUUGAUCAUCUUUAAUACUUGCUCAGGUGAUAAACUCGCGUUACUUAACUCGAUUGAAGACAAAAGGACAGUGUGCUUCUUAAAGACAUUCUAAUUAGAAUUGUUUGAUGACAUGUAGGUAUACCAUUAGUGAACGCAUCAAAUAAAGUGUUUUACACACUAAUAAUUAAGGCUGCCAUUAGAGUCAAUUUGAAAGGUUCUAUAAAAUUGAAAUAUUGAACCACAUAGACCAUUCACCACUACCAUAUUGGAUGAGGUAGAUGGUUUCCGUGAGCACAUUCCAAAAAUGACCAAUGUUGAAAUAUGGGACCAAUUCAUACUAUGAUAGUUUUUGAACCACUUUUUUUUUUUUAAGGUGACACUAUGAAAUUCAUCCAUAAAGUACAAAAGAAGCAUGAGAUUUAAAUAUCGUAAGUGCUAUAACCAUAAAAAGGAAAAGUUAUUAUAAGUCAGCAAUUUCAUUCUGUCUUUCAAAUGAUAUAAGUUAAUACUACUGCCAAAUGAAAUAUCAUUGAGAAAGGUCUUGUAUAGGUCUUGUUAGAGGUCAUUUAAAAAGAAGUACUUUGUGAAGCCACCUAUUUCGGUUCUAUGAAUGCCUUCGAACUCUAAAGUCAGAGGAAUUUAGAAAUGUAUGCCACUUCUGUUAUAAAUCAAGCAUAAGAGAGUAAUUUGUAAAAAUUAUCUAGACUGAAAAGUGAAACAAGGCAUUAUGUUAGCCUUUUUCUAUUUGAAUCUAAUCUAGUUACUAUGUCUUCUACUUUUCGUGGUGGGAUACAAGUGUUAUUCAUGAACAUGGGCAAUCUUUUUCAAUUGUGCAUGCUGUUAAUGAUGUGGUUGCUGGUUUUUAAUCUUGGUAGAAUAGAUGAGAAGUUUACCAUGUUGUGGCAUAGAUGUUAGGGAUAUUUCGAAUUUGGCACAUAAAUAGAUUGCAUUGAGAGAAAUCUUGCUGCUAAUAUACACUAAUGAUUAGUAGAUAUAAUGAAGUUUAGGAAUUGACUUAUACUAAUAUAUUUGAAUUGUUUCCACUUAUGGCUUUUAAUGGAUAAAAUCAUUUCAUCAUCCUCACUAAAGACCAUUUAGGUUUCAAUCAUAUGAAGUGAAAAGUCUAACUCUGUUGAAGCCUUAAAGUUUUUUAAAAAAUCUGCUAUCAAGUUUUCAAAAGUACGAAAUUAAUGCAAAAAUAUUAGACAAAUGAUGAAUACUGUGGUCAGAGUGAUGAAAAUAGGAGCAAUCCUAAACUAUCCUAUUAAGUCUUCUAUAAGAUUGUGAUGUUAGCAUAUAGUAUGUUAUGUUUGGAAUACUAAAAAAAGUAAAGUUGCAAUAAAGGGCGCAAUUGCACAUUUUUGGGCAUGGUGCAAUAAUGCUAAAUCAUUCCACAUUUCUAGAUUUCAUGUGGAAUGAAAUCUUAGAGACUAUAGCAUUCAGUGUAAAUCAAGCUCUAAGCAAAAUUAGUUUAUAAAGGUUGUUGUAAAUUGCAAAUAUACAAUAAGCCAAUUUCAUGUUGCUUUUCGACUUUGGCUUUGCAAUAUAGAUUUAUGGGCCCAUAACUCACAAUUAAGGAACCUUGAUUGGAGAAAAUUAUCUGCGCUACUCUGUUGGUUGUUAUAGCAGCUUCAGAUAUUCUAGAUUUAAUAAUUUGUUGUAUAAUACUAUAAUCAUCAAAUAUGACUAUGCAUUCUAUUUAGAGGAUGACUUAGAUAGUGAGAGUAUUAGGUUUUGAAUUCUGCAAAGUCAUUUUCAUGAAAAAUAUGUUGUUGUUGUACCAAUCCCCCAUGUGAUUCAGCUAAUGCUGGAAAAUGCCACAAGUGUUUAAACCAAUGAUUGGUCCUAGCAACCUUUUUUUUUUUUUUGGAAUUGCAGCUAAACUUACAAGGGAAUAUGGCAUUCAUGUGUCUUUUGAUUUUGUUUAGUUUUAGGAGGCUUUGCUGAUCCUAAUACUCUUUAAGUUGGAUGUUUGCCAAGUAGUAUGAGAUUGUAUGUUUGUUGUAUACUUGUGCGUAAGAUCAAGAUGAAUGACCACAUUAUUGUAGUCCAAUCGAAUGUUGAUGGACUUAUAAGGUUAAGAGGUGCUCCAUAGUCUACAUAGAAAGAUUUAAAGUCAAUUCUGUGAUUUAGGGAUCUAAAUGAUAUAAGGAAUUAGGUGUGAAGAAUCCUUCUAUCCCAUUUUUACCAUUGAUUUUUUUAGAAUCUUUAUGGUAUUGGUGUCUUAUUCAAUUUCGAGUUACAUGAGCUAAACAUUAAGACAUCUACGUAGAGUAACCUGAAGAUUCUAUGAACAUUCAAUUUAUAGACUCAAGAUGUCCAUUUUUGGACUUAAAAAGGCAUCCAAUUUGUGAUAAUGGAUGUUUGAUGAGAUUGUGAUAAUUCUAAAUUUUUUUAAAAUUAUCAUGAACUUAUUUGAUCGAUUGUAUCAUUUAUUUGAUUACUUUUGCUUGAUUCUUAGCUAUUAUAUUUAAUUUUCUCCCUAAUUUUGGGUUAUUGUCUUAUGUGUAGGUAAAGUAACAAAUUGACACCUAAGUUGCCACAUGUGAGAACGAAAGGAGGAGAAAACAGCUAGCCACUCUUGUAUGAAGAAAGCGUGACUUAUGCAUGAACAGAAAAAAAAAAAAAAAAAGAAGCAUGAGCUGGCAGCAGCUUCUACAUGGGUUGUAAUUAGAAAAAUUCCUCAUUUUGGCGCACAAAAAGGUGUUGCUGACUUGGUGCUUAGGUGGCUGCAUUAUGAUUGAUUAUGGCAGAAUGUUGGACACUUAAUAGGUUGUUAAGUUCAUGCAAGAACGGAGGAGAAGAUAGCUGGACAUGCAAUCGAAUUCUUCCAAAAAAAUGACGCCUAGCUACUAGUAGCUGUGCAUAUUGGUUUCACGAGAAUUCUUCCAAUAAUUUGUUGAAAAUUUGACAUCUUUUAUGGUAUUGUUGACAUGGCUCAAGUAUGGAAGGUAAUUGGUGGAAGUUGAGCCUAUGAGUAUCACGUUUUCAUCCUCGCAAAAGAGAAGAAGCAGCCAGUCGUGAGCCACCAACAUGUGCAAGUGAGGAGCUAACUUGAAGCUGACUUUGGGAGCUUAAAUGAAAAAAAAAAAAAAAAGCCAAGACGUCAAGCCAAAUUUGGAGCACCUUGAUCAGCUAUGACUGAUACAAGAGAAGGGGGACUAUAGCAUUACAAGACAAAUAUGGACCGCAAAGAAAAUGACAGCCAACCAUUACACUCUCUACUGUAUGUCACGUUUUGGAGAAAUAUUUGGAGCUGAAUUUGAGCUGGUUUUGAACCACUAUUGAAGACAUUUAUUUAAGCUUGAAAUGAUAAUUUUAUAACCUAAAAUGGGGAGCAAAAACCGGUGCAAACACCCAAGACAAUCAUGUUUUUAAUGGGGCUGGCAGUGAACAUUUUGGUGUUGUUUGAGCUAACCGGUUGUGCAUGGGCUGCAUGGGAAGGAAAAAUAUGGAUUUCAGAACUUGAAGAAGCUUGGAAGAGCUGGAAAAGCUGCCAAGACGAAAAGCCAAUGCAAAGCCAGUUGCCUAAUGUGUCCAAGCCUAAUCAAGUGUGCAUAAGCUGCAUGAAAUGCAAUUUCUGCCAAGGCUGGGAAGUCACGAUUUUGGAGGGAAUUUUGGCAUCAAUUCUGCAAAGAUAACUUGAAAUUUUCCUCCUCUCCGAUUGGAUGGCAAGAGUGCAUAAGGAUCACCACUCAAAAACAUGCAAAGAGAAGCAAACCAUGGACUGCUAGUUACUACCUAAUGCUGCCAGAUUUCUUCUUUUGUGUUGCUUCUGAUUUUUGGGGUUUUGGAAAUGCUUUUUGUUGCAAAAAUCAGAGGGCACAUAAACAUGCAAAUGAGGAAUAAGUUUGAAUGGCAGUGGCCAGGCAAAUGAGGUAGAGUGCAUGAAAAUGGGAAUGUCGUGCAUGAGCAUUUCCCGUUGUUGCCAGUUUUCAGAAAGUUACAGUUUGGGAGCUUGAAGAGCUCCAAAAAUUGGUCUUUGCUGAGUUUAAAUGGCUGCCAACACACCUCACACAUAGCUAAUUAGGAUCCUCCCAUUGGACCACACUUGAAAGCUCACAUGAUGGAAAAAUGACAUGGACAAGAGACCCUUUGCAUUUUCGAUUUUUUUUUCCAACUCCAGAACUAUCUACAUUUGAGCAGGGAUUUUGAGGGCUGAGUUGUAUUAUUAAAAGCCAUUGAUUAGCUAAAAAUUAACCUAGCUUUGACCUUUAAAGAGAACAUUUUUAGGGCUACAAAAGAUGAGGCCAUAUUUUGUAUUUCGUGGGGUUCUUUUCUUAGUGUUAGGAACAACUCAAGCAGAUAACAGCUAUUGCUGGUCUGGUUGAGCUCCUUUAGCCUUCAUUUAGCUUUGUUUCUGGGUUAUUUUCUUAGCCAAUUUACUUGUGUUUCAGUUAUCUUUCAUGUCUUAAGCUCUUUUUUAAAUUUCGAACACUUUGGUUACUCCUAAGUUAAUGAAAUUUCAGUCUAUAGCCACUUUGUUUCCAGCACUAUUUUGUUGUUCUUUUUCCACUAUGUUCAGUUCGGUUUCUCUUUAAGUUUCUGCCAUUUUUAUGUUGCUUGUUCUUGGAUUUGGGCUGAGGAUGAAAGCCUAGAUUGAGCUUUAGUCUGCAAAAUCAUCUAAGGGGUCCUAGAUGGCUCGACUCUAUUUUAGCUCAUUUUAUUGUUCAGUUUUCAUGCCCUGUUUUCAACCUAGUUUUUCACCCAUUUCUGUUUGGUUUUUGGACUUGCUCACCUAAGUAAUUUUUUUGUUUGUUUUUAAGUCUAUUUUCAAGAUGCGGCUUUAUAUUGAGAAUAUCAUGCACGUACCUUGAGUUAUGCUAACAUUUAGGCUGAAAGGUCCAUGUUUAUUCUCAUUUUUCAUGAUGCAUUUUUAACAUUGUUUUUGUCCCCAUUGUGUUCGAUUUUUAAGGGUUGGUUUUGAUAGGUUUUUUGUUGCAUUUUAAGUCUAAUUUAAGUUGAUUAUGUUUCUUUUAAUGUUUCCAUGCAUCACAUGUUAUUUUUUCUUUCAUUAUAGCUCAUAGGUUCACUUGGCGGUCCUUUAUGUUUUAUUUUAUUAUUUUUCUUUUUUAGGUACUGUGUAGUUAAGUUUUGGUUGUUUCUAACCCUAUAAAAAUUCAUCGGAUAUUAUUCAAGUUUUGUUUAUGUCAUUUGCCACCAUAUAGGUUAGGUUACAUUUUUUUUAGUUGUUUACAUGUUACUGUAGACAUCAAAUUUGAUCAACGCCCGAAUCAAUUUGGCAUAGUCCAAUAGGGUCAAUAAUUUAUUAAUUUUUUUUAUUAUCAUUCUGAAUUUUAUGUUGAUUAUUUAUUUAUUAUUAUUAUUAUUAUUUUAGGAGAUAAUGAUGGUAAAAAAAAAAAGAAAGAAAAAAGCAAGGAAUCUUGCUGUGAAUGGGGCUAGAUAGAAUCAUAGUUGGACUUAAUUCUUAUAGGAUAAGUCUAAUGGAUUUAUGAUAAUGUAGAAUUCUGAUCAAAGGAGAACUUAGAAUUGAUCAAAAACUCUUCUGAUCAUAGCUUAUAAAUACCCACAUUGAUUAGAGGCAAGGGACAUAGAAAAAACACACAGAAAUAGAAAUAAAAAAAUCACAAAUAGAAAGCAACUAGAAAGCUUUUCGAAGAUUUUUGGGUUUAGGGGAAAAAAGGAAUUUUUCUGAAAAAAUCUAGAAAAUUCCUAGAUUUUGGCAAAAAUUUCUAGUUUUUAGUGAAUUUUUCGGAGCUGGUUGAAUUUUCUAAUGACUUUUUUUAUGCCAGUUGAAUUUUUCGAUAAGGGUUUCCAAAAUCCGGUGGAGAUUUCGAUGAAGUUUGAAUUUUUCAGUGACCAUCUGAGAAACCAACCUAGAUUCUGGCGGUAUUUUCUAAAAUCUAGUUGAUAUUCAACUGAAGAUUUAAUCGGGUUAAAAAGAAGGGAGAGGAAAAAAAAGGGAAGAACAGAAGAGGAAGGUGAUAUAUGAGAAAAAGGGUUGGGAGUUGCCUUUUAUAUAAGGCCCAAAAUGACGUUGUUUUCAUCUUAAGAAGACCCAGGAUCCGUGUGUUUUUAUUCAGGUAAUUCGACCCGAGCGCAGCCCAUUUUGCCAAUUCCCUCCCCAACCUAGCCAAGCUGAGCCAAGUCGUCGAGCCAUUUUUUGUGUUUGAAGCUAAGCUGCGCUAAGUUGUUAAAUCGAGCCAUUUCAUUUUUUUUGGUAUUUUGUUGGUAUUUUGUUGGUAUUUUUUUAUUUUAUUUACGUGUUUGUGUUUUAGUAUUUUUGUAUAAUUAAAUUUAGGAAAAAACAAAAAAAUAAUAAAUAAUAAAUUUUAGGAAUAAAUAUUAAUUAUCCAAUUAUGAAAUUUAUAAAAAUUUCAAAUGGUAAAUUUCUAUAAAAUUCCUAAGUGAGAAAUUUUGUCUAAAUUUGUCCCAAAUGAUAGAAUAACUUAGAUAAAAUUUUAAUAACAAUAAUUUAUAUUUAUUUUCAAUAAAAAAAUAUAAAAAAAUAAAAUAUUUUGGUUGAAAAUAUUUGAUAAUUAUCCAAGGAUAAGAAUCUUUGAAAUUUCAAAUGGUAAAUUUUAUAAGAAAUCUCUAGCUGAGAAAUUUCUUUAAAUUUGUCCCAAAAGAUGAAAUAAUUUAAAUGAAAUUUCAAUAAAAAUAAUUGUCAUAUUAGUUUCUUUCCAAAAAAAAAAUAAUAAUAAAAAGAAUUUCUAAAUAGGCCCAAAUGGUAGAAAAUUUAGAAAUUCUGAAAAGAAAAAUAUUUCUAAAUUGACCCAAAUGGUAGAAAAUUUAGAAAUAAAAAAAUAAUAAACAAAUUUCUAAAUAGGCGCCAAAUGGUAGAGAAUUUAGAAAUUCAAAAGAGAAAAUAUUUCUAAUUUAGCCCAAAUGGUAGAAUAGUUAGAUAUAUUUUCGAUAAACAAAAAUCAUAAUAAUGAUAAAUAAAACUUUUUUCGAUUGCAGAGUCUCUUUAAGAAAAUAAAUAAGAUUAUUGAAUACUCUUGAGAUAAAAAAAUAUUUUAAGGAAUUCUCCCAGAUUGAUGGAAGAAUCUUAUAAAUUAUUUCCAGUAUUUCAACAUAAAAAUUUGAAACCAUUAGACUCAAGACCUAAAGAUAAAUUUAAAAUAAUAUGGUACGAUCCUUUAGAUGGGCAUGUGGGGUUGCUAUAACCUUGUCCACAUGUAACCGAACUUUCGAACCCUAUUCUGGUUUAUAGACCUGAACCUAUUCUUUUAGGGACCCUUAGUCAAGCUUAGGAGCUCCUUAAAAGGAUAGAUUCCAUAGGUGACCGAUCACACCUAGAUAAAAAAUAUUGGUGGCAACUCCAUUUGUUAAAUCUAGCUAUAGAUUUACAAAUCUAUAUGUUAUGACAGUUUGACAACUUUACUGGGGAUACUGUAGAGAGUCAAGCCAUAAACUUUUAAAUUUAUCCUAUCCUUUGGUCUAAUGGUUUUAAAUUGUGAUGAUUUGUGUUAUUUGUUUACUAACAUUUUUUCCUUUUGUGUUUUGUAUUUUAUGUUUGGGGCAUGAAACCUAUAUAUUCCUUUACACACACUAUCACAUGCAUUUGCAUUACAUGAGCUCUAUACCUAGGCUCCAUCCGUCUUAAGAGAGAGUAAAGUACCUAUGCUCUCGUGAGAUAAUUUUCGCAAUGGCUAGCAAAAUACUCCCACUUAAAUUGAAUCCUUUUUGUUGGUAGCCUGUGAUGGGUGAGGUUUUGAAUGCCUUAUUAGUUUGUGAUGAACUAUAAUGUAAGGAACAAUUUGAAAACUGUUAGUGAUCAAACUCACCUAACCCUGUAUAUAGUGUACACUUAAAAUGCUAGCCUUAAGAUAGAGCCCUUUCUACCCAUUGAUAGAUGUAACCUAAAACUAGGACACAAGAAGGAACAACUUGUAUAUUGCUUAUCCAACCAUUUUGUUUGUUUAACUUUGUGUAUCUGUAUUAUCAUAUCAUGCAUAAUUUUCAUUGUCACAUAUAACAUCAUGCAUCUGCAUUAUUUUCAUAUUAGAUUUCAUCCAUGAAAAUGUACAUUUCAUUCAUGCAUUAACACUAAACAUAAAGUAUAGCAUUUUUAAUAACAUAAUUGUGGUGUUCAAGGUUCAAGGAUGGCUUUAGCAAGCAAUAACCCAACUCACCAAUACAACACAAGAGCUCGAGCCAAACAAAUAGAACAAAAAAAUUCCAAUCGUCUCAAGAGGAUAGAGAAAGCUCAAGAGAAACUUGAAGGGGAAUUAAGUAAGAUCCUUGAUGGUUUAAACAAAUUAAACAAGGGAAAGGGUAUUGAAAAAGGUACUAGCCAAUAAGAACAUCCAUCAUAAAAGGUGACUGACCCUAUGUAUCCUUUUGGUUUUAGGCCUCAUCAAGCCCAGUCUACUCAAGAUCCAUUACCACAGUAGUUCAUAUAUCUAGUAGGGUAUACAUACCAUGGAAUGCCAUCAGCGUCAAACUUGAGGCAGUACCAGAGUUAUGUAAAUCUUGUCUUUACUGAAAAAAACAGUGGAACCAAUACUAAUCCCUAAUUUAGAUGAUCCAGAAGAGAAAAAAAAUUGAAGCCCAAAGAGAAAGAGACUGUAGAAGCCUAAAAAGCUGAACAGAAGAUGAACUUGUUAGAGGAAAGGUUACAAGCCGUAGAGGGCAUUGGUUUUUAUGGUUUAGUGGAUACUGUUAGGCUCUAUUUAGUCUCGGAUGUUGUUAUUCCUCCUAAGUUCAAAGUGUCAGAGUUUAAGAAAUAUGAUGGUACAAAGUGUCCAAAAAUUGACAUUACAAUUUAUUGUCGGAAGAAGGUAGCUCAUGCUCAUAUGAGAAGUUAUUAAUGCAUGUAUUUCAAGAUAACGUCACGGGCUCUAUUGUUAGGUAGUAUAUCCAGUUGGAUAAGACCUAUAUUCGCUCUUAGAGUGAUAUGGCCCAUGACUUCAUUAAUCAAUAUCGGUAUAUCAUAGACUUAGCCCUAGAUCACCUUUUUUUACAAAAUAUGGAAAAAAAAGCAAUUGAAUCAUUUGAAGAGUAUGCCCAGAGGUGGAGGGAUAUUGCUUCUCAAGUGCAACCCCCUUUGACUGAAAAAAAAUCAUGGUGUUGUUUGUCAACACUUUAAAAUCUCUCUAUUAUAAAAAGAUGAUAGGGAAUGCCAUAAAGAGUUUCGUCGACAUGGUCAUCUCAGGCAAAAUCAUUGAGAAUGCCAUUAAAAAUGGUAAGUUGAAAGAAGGAGAAACCAAGAAAGUACCAUAGAGGACAGAGACUAAAACUUAAGUCGUGAGUUUUGACAGACAGUUCAUGGGUUAUCAACCUUAUCCGCCACAAAGUUUCUCUCCAUACUAUCUUGCUAUGAACAAUACCUUAUCCUACCCAUACCAAUCAGCCCCAUUGCCAUCUUAUCCAUUAACAUACUAGCCUAUUUUCAGCCUUCAAGCUCCCACAUACAGCCUUAAUAUUCAACCUCCUACAAAACCCUAAAUUUAUCUUGCUAGCUCAGUAAGUGGUUCAUGAGAGCAACAAAUUACUUGAGAAAAAUUAAUAUUUGAUCCAAUCCCUAUGACUUAUAUGGAGUUAUACCAAGAGCUCUACAAUAACAACUUGAUUGCCCCCAGCCAUGUGAAGUUGUUUAAGCCACCCUAUCUCAAGUGAUAUGAUUCUACAGCUUAUUAUGAGUACCAUUAUGGAAUUGCUGGCCAUUUCACAAAGAAUUGCAUUGUUCUAAAGCAUAAGGUGCAAUGAUUGAUCAAAGAUGAAAUGAUAAACUUUGAUCAAGAAAGUAACAACACCUAAUGUUAGUGGCAAUCCAUUGCUCAAUUAUAAUGUCAAUGCUCUGAGUGAGAAUCAAGAACAUGUUGAUCCAAAAAGGCCUAAAGAGCUGCAAUGAAUCAGGGAGCCAGACGUUAAGAAAAAUCCUUCACUUGAUUAUAUGGGGGAAUAAAUUUUGGAAAGAAAAAAAUAUGUUAAGGUUGGUUGGAAGCUGCUUGCCAUUUUAGGAUUUCUUUUAGAGUAAUGUUAGGAUUUCUUUUAUGCAACAGGAUUUCACUUGUUAUCAUUUUAAUAAAAGACAAGUUGAUGCAUUUCAUUACAUUUUCUUUUUCAUCCAAGUAAUUAUUCCAUGCUUUGCUAUUUGUCACGUCUUUUUAUUCCCAUUUUUAAAUUCCAAAUAAUGAAUGUUUAGACAAUAACAAAAAUAAUUUUGAGAUUUAAUUUUGAGAACUCAUUCACAUUAAUUUGAGGAGAUUAUUUAAGUAAAAGAAACAAGCUGCUGGCAGAUGUGAAAUAGAUAUAUCUUAAAGAUGUGCAUAGAUCCAUGAGCUUGUUUUUGUUUAAUAGAUGAUAUUCAAAGAAAGUAUUCACAUUUGAGAUAAAAAAUGGCCAUCUUUCUUUUACCAUUUGAAAAACCAUUCAUUAUUAUCCCUUUGAGCCUAUUAUGAUUUUUUUUUCUAAAAAACCCAACCAAGGAUCACCCUCUACACUUGGGGUAAUUUCUAAAAAAAAAAAAGAGGCAAAAGUUCGCAAAAGGUCUCAAAGGUAGAAAAGAAAAAAGCAAAAAGAAAGAAAAGCCAAGCAGAAAAAAAAAAAGAAAAAUGAAUGCCACGCAUGAUUUAGGGUAAAAUAGUGAGAGUUUUUAUGUGAAUAAUAAGAUGAAAGAAAGAAAAAAUAGUGAAAUGAAAGAGAAAGGGGCAAAAUGCCAAGUUGUUUUAAAUGAUGAAAAAUGAUCUUUUGGUUUUGAAACCUUUAAACACAUGUUUUGAGCCUAUUUUAUCCAUUUCUUUUAUGAUCCCUCAUCAUAGCCUACAUUACAAUCUUUAAAAAGUCUAUUUAGAUCAAAUGUGAAUGCUCGAAUUGAAUGAUCAUUAGGCUAAGGCAUGUUUAUGAUAGGGCAAUGGAAUGUGUUUUAGAGACUGAUGUGUGAAAGAUAUCACUAAUGGAUGAAAAAAUGAAAAACAAAGAAAAAAAAUAAAAAUGAGAGAAAAAAAAUAAAAAAAGGGAAAAAAAGAAAAAAAAGAGAAAAAAUGGGAAAAAAAAGAAAAAGAGAAAAAAUGAGGAAAAAAAAAAAUGAAGACUCAAUUUGAAAACCCGAAAGGCUGAUUUAGCUAGAGAAAUCUGAGCUAAGAGUUGGAUAAAUGGUUUAUACGGAUGAGAGAUCAAAGACAUCUAAAGAUCUCUCAAAAUAGGGGCAAAGUUCAAUGAGCUCAAAAUGAUUUUGAAAAGUUAGUGGAAUAAGUUUUUGAAAAAAUUCUAGAUUAGUGUUAAGAAUUGUUUGAGUGUUCAUUGUUUGGAUCUUGUCAUAUUAUUCAAUACCAUCCCAAUUGAUAUACUUUGAAUUUAUUCCUUUAUUUAUUUUUUUAUUCCAGACUCACUUUUCAUUGAUCACUUUUCGUCCAAUUCACAUUGUGCUCUCUUAUUCUAGCAUUCUUAGAAUAAAUCAAGAAUGUGUGGUUGCAUUAUAAUUGUCAAAAAUUGAAAUGAUGAUGAAUGAAUGACAAUGUGCAUAAAAAAUUCUUGCAUUCUUUUGAAAAGAAAUCCAGGAUGAUAAGGGGCACAAAAAAUAAAGAGUGCAAAAACUUGAAAAGAAUAUUUGAUGAAUAUGGUAAUGGAUUGGUCAACAAAUGAAGAGAGGGCAAAAAUCUGAAAAGAAAAUGAUCAAGAAAUGAAUAUGGUGAUGGAUUAAUCAACAUAACUUAUGAAUUGUGGUUAAAUGAUGGAAAUAUGUGGAUCUGAGGACAUAAUUAAUUUUGAAAUGGCUAAUACUGAGAACCCUAUAAAUUGUGGUGAAAAUAAUGUGGAUCAUAGGAUAAAAUUUAUUUUGAAAUUGCUAGAGCUGAAAGGUUGUGAGUUAUGGUUAAAUAAUGAAAUAAUGAGGAUCUAUAGAUGAAAUUCAUUCUUGAAUGGCUAGUGUUUAGAAGCCUGUGAAUGGUGAUCAAGUGAUGAACACAAUGUAGAUUAAUUGAUAGAAUUUAUUUUGAAAUUGCUAGUGCUGAAAAGUCUGUGAGUUAUGAUUAAAUGAUAUGGAGCAAUGAACGAAAUUUAUUUUGAAAUUGCUAGUGCUGAAAGACCUAUGAAUUGCAAUCAAGUAUCAAUUGACGAAACAUGUUCUAAAUGGUUAGUGCUGAAAAUUGAAAAAAAAAAGAUAAGGGAUGGUGGAGUCUUUAGAACCAUAUUACCACAAUUAAUUAGAAUUUCAUGACAUGGACAUUCACAUUACAUGCAUUACGUUGCAUUGUUGUAAACAUUUGAAUCAUGAUUAAGAAUAUGGCAUUAUGAGAAUCUAGAUUAUUGCAUUUGCAUCAUUGAUCAUGACAUUCAGUACAUAUAAAAUUUUGAAUUUGGUAAAAGUUUGAAAGUCAUCUAGAAAAUAAAUUUUGAAUAUUUUGAUGAAGUCCUAAGUCUUCAAAUAAGCACCUUUGAGUUUUAAAUGAGAAUUUUUAAGACAUUUUCUAAUGAGAACCUUUGAAUAUUAAAUGAGAAUGUUUAAGACAUUUUUAAAUGAGAAUCUUUGAGUCUUAAAUGAGAAUCUUUAAGAUGUUUUUAAAUGAUAAUCUUUAAGACGUUUUCAAAUGAGAAUCAUUGAGUCUUAAAUGAGAAUCUUUAAGAUGUUUUCAAAUGAGAAUCCUUGAGUCUUAAAUGAGAAUCUUUGAGUCUUCAAAAGAGAAUCUUUGAGUUUCAAAUAAGAAUCUUUGAGAUGUGAAACCCUAAAAGUUUGUCGAAUAUGAAUCUUUAAACUACAAUGAAAAGCUUUAAACUUUUGGAUGUGACUCUCCAAAAUUCAAAAGAAAAGCUUAAAACUUUUUAGGUAUGAAUCCUAAAUUUAGGUAAACCUUUGAAUUUGAAUGAGAAGCUACAAACAUUUGAUUGAGAAUCUCUAAAAUUCGAAUGAGAAUCUUUAAAUGUUAGGUGCGAGUCUUGCAAUUUGCAAAUGUGAAUAUUGAAAUCUUACAAAUCUGAAUUCUUGCAUAUCUGUAAUUUUGUGAAUCGAAUUCUUAUGAGACUGAAAUUUUGAGAAUCAAAUUUCAAUGAAUUCUUGUGAAGCUGAAAGGUUUUUACAAAUUUAAACCUUUGAAUUUUGAACUCAAAUUGUGAAUAUUUGAGUUUUCAUUUCAUUAGACUUAAUCUAUGACUCUUCUAGAUGUGAUUGUCGAAGAGCCUCUUUUUCUUAAGUUAUUGAGCCUCUGUUUUGAGGAACCUUUUAUUUUUCAAAGUUGUUGAGCCACUAUUUCGCGGAGUCUUUAUUUUUCAAAAUUGUUGAGCUUUUGUUUAGAAGAGCAUUAUUUUCCAAAGUUGUUGAGCCUUUGGUUAGAGGAGCGUUAUUUUUUUCAAAGUCGUUGAGCCUCUAUUUAGAGAAGCUUUGUUUACUUUUUCAAAAAAAAAAAAAGAUGCAUUUGUUAGGGUAAUCAUAUGUGAGGUGUCUAUGUCUUUGCACAAUUCUUAUUGCAUAGGAAAAGCACAAAGAGGGGCAAUUGUAGACACCUAAUUUGGUCCAAGUCUGGAUCAAUUGGGCCUAGUCCGAUAGGGUCAAUAAUUUAUUGAUUUUUUUUAUUAUCAUUUUAAAUUUUACAUUGAUUAUUUAUUUAUUUAUUUAUUAUUAUUAUUAUUAUUAUUAUUAUUAUUAUUAUUAUUUUAUGAGAUAAUGAUGGUGAAAAAAAGAAAGAAAGAAAAAAGCAAAGAAUCUUACCGUGAAUGGAGUUGGAUAGAAUCAUAAUUGAACUUAAUUCUUAUAGGAUAAGUCUAAUGGUUUUAUGAUAAUGCAAAAUUCUGAUCAAGGGAGGACUUAGAAUUGAUCAAAAACUCUUCUGAUCACAGCUUAUAAAUACCCACAUUGAUCAAAGGCAAGGAACACAGAAAAAACACACAAAAACAUAAAUAAAAAAAUCACAAGUAGAAAGCAAUCAGAAAGUUUUUCGAAGAUUUUUGGGUUUAGGGGAAAAAAGGAAUUUUUUUGAAAAAAUCUAGAAAAUUUCCAGUUUUUGGUGAAUUUUCCAACAUCCGUUGAAUUUUUCAGUACUUUUUCGAUGUUGGUUGAAUUUUCUAGUGAGGGUUUCUAGAAUCUAGUGGAGCUUCCAACAAAGUUUGAAUUUUUCGAUGAUCAUCCAAUGAACCAACCUAGAUUUCAAUGGCAUUUUCCAGAAUCUGGUUGAUAUUCAAUAGAAGAAAAGGGCUGGGAGCUACCUUUUAUACAAGGCCUAAAAUGAUGCCAUUUUUGCCUUAAGAAGACCUCAGGAUCUACGUGUUUUUAUUAGGAUAAUCCGAUCGGACCGUAACUUGCUUCGCCAACCCGUGCCCCAAUCUAGCCGAGCCGAGCCGAGCCGAGCUCUUGAGCUGAGUCGUCGAGUCAUUUUCUAUGUCUGAAGUCGAGCCGUGUUGAGUCACAUUGAGUCAUUCAGCUGAGCCGUUUCAUUUUUUUUUGGUAUUUUUUAUUUUAUUUAUGUGUUUAUGUUUUAGUAUUUUUGUAUAAUUAAAUUUAGGAAAAAAUAAAAAAAUUAAAAAAAUAAUAAAUUUUGGGAAUAAAUAUUAAUUAUCCAUUGAUGGAAUUUAUAGAAAUUUCAAAUGGUAAAUUUCUAUAAAAUUCUUAGGUGAGAAAUUUUGUCUAAAUUUGUCCCAAAUGAUGGAAUAAUUUAGAUAAAAUUUCAAUAACAAUAAUUAAUAUUAUUUUCAAUCAAAAAAAUAAAAAAAUAAAAAAUUUUGAUUGAAAAUAUUUGAUAAUUAUCCAAGGAUGAGAAUCUUAGAAAUUUCAAAUGGUAAAUUUUCUAAGAAAUCUCUAGGUGAGAAAUUUCUUUAAAUUUCUCCAAACGGUGUAAUAAUUUAAAUGAAAUUUUCAUAAAAAUAAUUGUCAUAUUAUUUUUUUUUCUAAAAAAAGUAAAUAAAAAGAAUUUCUAAAUAGGCCCAAAUGAUGGAAAAUUAGAAAUUCCGAAAAAGAAAUAUUUCUAAAUUGACCCAAAUGGUGAAAAAUUUAGAAAUAAAAAAAAUAAUAAAAAGAAUUUCUAAAUAUGCCCCAAAUAGUGAAGAAUUUAGAAAUUUAAAAAGAGAAAAUAUUUCGAAUUUGGCCUAAAUGGUGGAAUAGUUAGAUAUAUUUUCGGCAAACAAAAAUUAGAAUAAUGAUAAAUAAACAUUUUUUCGACGACGAAAUCUCUUCAAGGAAACAAAUGAGAUCUUUGAAUACUCUUGAGGUGAUGAAAUAUUUUUAAGAAUUCUACCAGAUCGAUGGAACAAUCUUAUAAAUUAUUUUCAAUAUUUUAACAUAAAUAUUUGAAACUAUUAGACGCAAGAUCUAAGGAUAAAUUUAAAAUAAUAUGGUACUAUCUUUGGAUGGGCAUGUGGGGGUGCUAUAACCUUCUCCACAUGUAACCGAACUCCCAAACCCUAUUCUAAUUUGUAGACCCGAACCUAUUCUUUUAGGGACCUUUAGUCAAGCUUAGGAGCUCCUUAAAAGAAUAAAUUCUUUAGGUGGCCAAUCACAUCUAGAUAAAAAAGAUUGGUGGCAACUCUAUUUGUUAAAUCUAACUAUAGAUUUACGAAUCUAUAUAUUAUGACAGUUACCAUUUUAGGUGUUUAAUGAAAUGUCUACUAGAAAUUUAAUCUUUUCAUUUUCUGUUUUAAAUUUUUGAUUAGGAUAAAUUUUUAAAUCUGGACGCAAUAAUUAAAUGAUACAUUUUAGGUCAUUUUCAUGUUUAAAUCAUGUGAAUUUAGGGUCUUGCAUGGUGGGGUAAUGUCUAUGUCCAACGAGGGUUUAUUUAUAAAAUGUUUGACUUUGCAUUUUUGUCUUUUUGCUAGGUUUUAGGGACUAAUUUUUACUACUGUUCUAGGUUCUGUUCCAGCCCCUAAACUUGCUAAAUUUGAUCUUUAAUUUGUGCCUUUAACUUGACUUUACACUUAUGUUUGCAUGUGUGCUUGUUUGUUAGUCAAAUUAAGCUUCAUUUACAUGUUUAUUUGGUUUUAAUUGUUGUUAAUUUGCAUGAUAAUUUAGAUUUAUAAUUUCAUGUAUUUGUGUUUAUGCCAUAGCCCAAAUACCAUUUAGUUCAUUUAGGAUUUUAAUUCCAUGCCAUUUACCUUUGUGUUCAUAAAUUUAAAUGUCAUUUAUGGUUUAGGUUAAUAUUUAGGGUAAAUUGCAAUUUUAUUUCUUUUUGUUCAAUUUAAUUUCAUAUUGUGCAUGAUUAAUUAUUGUAUUUUACUUUUAUAAUUUCUAUGCUUUAAUUUAAAACCUUUUUAGUUCGGUUUUAGAUACUUUCUUUUUUAGCAAUUUUUUAUUUUAGGUAACUUUCCACUUUCAGUAAGUUUUAGGGUAAAUUUAGGAUUUUUUUUCAUAAUUUGUUAGUAAUUAGUAAGGGUGAAUAGAUAUCAAUUCAAAUAGAUUUAAUCGACCGAAACCGAUGAAAUAUGGUCAUUUUGAUUCGGUCUAGUUGAUUUUCGAUUAUAGUUGAUUUUGGGAUCAGUUAAAUUGAUCAAAUCGAUUGGUUAUCAAUUUUCAAAAUUGAUAACCGAAUUAAUUGAAUUAACCGAUCUUAUAAUAACUAAAGGUAAAUAUGUAUAUUUCCCUAAAAAAAACCCUAAACUUAACUCAUUUUUUCUAAGUGUGUUUAUGAAAAAUGCCUUUAAUAAUCUCUUACAAAAAAUUGAAUAAGGUUAUUCAAGGCAUUUCUGACUAAAAGCACCUUGAAUAAUCCUAAAAAAUUUUUAUGAGAGGAUUAUUAAAGGUGUUUUUGGCUAGAAACACUUUGAAUAACCUCCAUUAAAUUUUUUGUAAGGGAAACACCUUCAAUAAUCUCCUACCAUUUUUUUGGAUUAUUCAAGGUAUUUUUUGCCAGAAAUGCCAUGAAUAAUCCUUUACAAAAAAUUGAAUGGGGUUAUUCAAUGCGUUUCUAGCCAAAAACGCUUUCAAUAAUCUCCUGCCAUUUUUUUUGGGAUUAUUCAAGAUGUUUUUAGUUAAAAAUGCCUUAAAUAAUCCCUUAAUAAAAAUUUUUGAGGAUUUUUUAAUGCAUCUUUUAUAAGAAAUGCCUUCAAUAACCCCAUUAAAUUUUUUGUAAAAGAUUAUUCAAUACGUUUCUGGCCAAAAACACAUUCAAUAAUCCCCUCAUAAAAUUUUUUUAAGAUUAUUUAAGGUGUUUUUGGCAAAAAAUGCCUUGAAUAACCCCAUUCAAUUUUUUGUAAAAGAUUAUUCAAGGCGUUUCUAGCCAAAAAUGCAUUGAAUAAUAAAAAAAAUGGCAGGCAACUAUUAAAUGUAUUUUUAGCCAAAAAUGCCUUCAAUAAUUCCCUACAAAAAAUUGAAUAGAGGUUAUUCAAGGUAUUUCUAGCUAAAAUUUUUUGGAAAUUAUUCAAAGCGUUUUUAGCCAGAAAUGCCUUAAAUAACUUUAUUUAAUUUUUUGUAAGGGAUUAUUGAAGACGUUUUUCAUGCCAAAAUACUUUUUAAAACUUAUUGUUUAAUUUAUUUUGAUUAAACAAGUUUAGAUGAGUAUUUAUUUGUCUUUUUUCUUGUAAAAUAUUGUUGAAAUUAUUAAAUUCUUUAGUGAUUUAGUUUGAAUGAUAUGUGAAUUUAAGUUUUAUUGGAUUAAAUUUGAAACUAAAUAAUUAUUCAAAAUAAGCAAAAAAAUGAUGAAAAAUUCAAUUAUUUAACCGAACUGACUGAAUUGAACCGAUUUUUGGUCAAUUAAGUUAAGACGGUUAUUUAAAAUUUUGUUGGUUGGUUCGGUUACUUGUAAAAUAAAAGUUGAUUAAUUUGAUUAUUAAUUUUUUCAUAUCAAGCCAACUGAACUGACUAGCUGUUCACCCCUAGUAAUUAGGGUUGAAGUUUCAUUUAGUAUAAUUUUUAGGUUUAAUUAGUUGUUCAUGUCAAUUUAAUUUAAUUAAUUUAGUUUAAUUAAACAAAAUUUUCCCUCAAUCCAAAUACAACCUAGAUGUCCAAUAUUAGUAAUUUACCAAAGACUAGAAUCCAAUUCCUAAGGAAAUGAUAACUCGGAAUACUUUCAAUUUAUAUUACUUGUGUAGCUGUACACUUGCAAUAUUCUUACAUGGUCAACAUCAAGUUUUUGGUAUUGUUGCCGGGGAUUGGCACACUUAGUUUAGGGUUAAUAUUGAUAUUAGACAUACUAAGAUGUAGUUUGGGUCACUUUUUCUUGUAGAUAAUUGUAAAAAUGUUUUUAGAUUUCUUUUUUUGGAUUUUGUGAUCUACGAAUCUAUGGUUGGUCCAUGCAUAGGAGUAGAAGCCUUGAUCUGAUCCCCCUAAACCCAGAAAUAGAAAGAACACUUUAAAAAAUUAAGAGGAAAAGAUGAAAGAACCUUGUUACAGCUAAAACCAUAGCUGAUCCCAUUUAUAACAGAACCUUAUAGGAUUAUGUUGUGCCCAAUGUUGAUGGUUUUUAGUAAGUAUAAAAAGGCUAGCAAUCUAAGCAAACAAUUUUGAAAUCAAGCCCACCAUAAUCCAAAUGAUCUAGACCUUAGUACAAUUUGAUGGCCUUGCUAGCGAAGACUCGAAUGCGUAUUUAAGGAACUUUUUAGAAAAUACACACAUUCAAGCACAAUGGUGUCUCUGAUGAUGCCAUUAGACUUAGGUUGUUCCCUUUCUCUCUCCGUGAUCAAGCUAAGACCUAGCCCAUUUCAAUGACCCCUGGAUCGAUCACUACUUGGGAUGAUCUUGUCCAAAAUUUUUUGCAAAAGUUAUUUCCACCUACAAAGACCAUAAAGCUAUUCAAUGACAUCACUACUUUCACUCAAUAUGAUUUUGAGGCUCUUUAUGAAGCUUGGGAUCGAUAUAAGGAAUUGCUUAGGAGUUGUCCUUGUCAUGGCUAAGGGUUCAGACCUUCUAUAAUGGACUCUUAGGACAUAAUAGGAUAGUUAUAGACAUUGCAACUGGUGGUGCCCCCAUGGGUAAGUCUGUGGAUGAUGCCUAAGAGCUCAUCAAGGACAUGGUUGCCAACCAUUAUCGGUGGUCAUCUGAAAGACAAAACCUUAAGAAGGCUAUCAGAGUAUACGAGUUAGAUGCUCUAGUGCUAUUAUUGCUCAAAUAGCUAGUUUAGCAAAAAAAGUAGAGGCCUCGGGAUCCAGUUCUGUUCCUAUUCCUACUCUUGUUUGUAGCCCUAUCUAGUCCAUAUAGAGCCUAUUUUUCAGUUGUGAUAUGUGUGGAGGUGGCCAUUCAAAAGAUCAUUGCCCUAUAAGGAUAAAGUCUGUCCACUGAAUUACUUAGCCUAAUAGGCAACAAAACAAUCCCUACUCUAACACUUACAAUUCGAGCUAGAAGAAUCACCUAAAUUUUUCAUGGGCUAACAAUCAAGUUCAGUGCUCUAAUUCUAAACCCAGCACCCUCUUGGUUCUUCUCACCUUUUAGUUCUAUAGUAUCACCCACCACCACCUCCAUAAAGAAAGAAAAAUUCCUUUAAAGAGAUGUUUUUUUCCAUCUUUCAAAACCAAAACAACAUGCUGCUAAAUCAGGCUAACCUUAUCCAAGGGCAAGUUGUAACCCUUCAAAGUCAGGCAACUGUCAUAAAAUACUUAAAGGUGCAAUAAAGGUAGAUGGCUAGUGCCCUUAAUAGUUGCCUUUAGGGUAGCCUUCCAACAACACUGAAAUCAAUCCAUGAAGGGAAGGAAAAGAACAUAACAAGGUCAUUACCUUUAGAGUUGUAGAUAGUUAGCUAAUAACAUUGUAAACCCUAUAUCUUCUAGUUCUUUAACCAACCUGUUAUUGAUAAACGAGAGCUAAGAACGGAAAAACAGUUAAAGGAAAAAGAAAAUGAUAAGGUGGUUGGUGUAAGUCCUUAGUCAGCUCAAGCAGGUUACCCAUUUAGAGCUAUAAUCAGUAAGCUCAAGUCGUAUAGACCUCCCAUACCUUUUCCACAAAGAUUUCAAAAGUAAAAGAAUGAGUAGUAGUUUGCUAAAUUCCUAGAGAUAUAAAGAAAUUGCAUAUUAACAUCCCCUUUGUGGAUGUGCUAGAGUAGAUGCCUAGCUAUGCAAAAUUUAUGAAGAAGAUAUUUUCAAAAGAGGAGGUGGGAAGAUUAUGAGACCAUUGCACAUACUGAGGAGUGUAGUGCUAUCAUUCAGAGAAGCAUUCCUCCUAAGCUUAAGGACCCUAGUAGCUUUACCAUACCUUGCACCGUAGGUAAUCUUUUAUUUCAUAGGUCAUUUUGUGACUUAGGUGUUCGCAUAAAAAAUAAAUAUCUCCUUUUAUAUUAGUUAAAAAAAAAAGGUUUGUAAAAUAAGAUAGAAUGAAAAAACAAAGAAUAAUUAAUACUUUAAAUUAUAGAAAAUCAUAAAUUAAAUUGAUUAAAAUAUUAUUUUUUAUUAUAUAUAUAGCUUUUAUUUACUAAUCAAUUUUAUUAAUCAAUUUCAUUCCACCAACAAAAAUGAGUGUUCCAAAUUUUGCAAGCUUAUGUAUAAUGCGAAUGUUUCGUAACUUGUUUAUGAUUGACAUAAUAUGAUAAUAUCACAACAUAAAUUUAUAUAAAAAAUAAAUUUCAUUAAUAAUCUAAAGUUUAAUGCCUUGAAUAUAUUAAGUAUGAAAUAUUACAUCUAUUUACAUAAGAAAAUAAAAUUUACCAUAAUAAUAAGAUACUAAAAAAAGGAAUACUAACGGAAUGUAGGUUUGAGAAUCUCAUUAAAACAUUUUUAAAAGAUAUAAAAAUAAAAAACCAAAAAACCUUUUUGAAUAAUUUUACCAUGCAUACAUAUGAUGUAUGUUGUUGUGAAAACCUACUCCCUUACCAACUAAAUGAAAAACAUAACCAUUGAACCUUUUUCAUUCAACAACAAUUUCAAGUGGAAUCUAAUAUAUAUAUAUAUAUAUGUAUGUAUGUACAUUACAACAUACAAGGUUUUUUAAUAAGAUCUACUUAUUUGUAAUCUUAUGUGUAUAACUUAUUUUGAUGACAAUUAAGAUAGUUUUGAAUAUUAAAAAAACAAGAAAUUCUUAAAGGUUACAUGUAGACUUUAUGUAAGAUUUUUGAAAUUGACAAUUCUCAAACUUUUGAGACUUUGAUAUUUUGGAUCUUUCAAAAAGAUCUAACUUAUCUCUGUUCAACAUCCACCUCAUUUCCAAAAAAGGAUAAUGGUCAAAAUAAAAAAUUAGACAAUAAAUAAGGAUCAAAAGGUUCAUGGAUUUCAUGGUUAUUUUUUCAAGAGAAGCGUUUCAAUUUUUAAGUAUCCAUGCUUGAUCCAAUAAAGACUUUUGAUAAGAUGUAACAUAGGCCAAGGUUCAAGAUUUUCAAAGAAAAAGAUAAAUAAGCCCAAAAUAAAUGUUUAAGGGUAAUUAAAACCAAGGAUCAUUCUUUCAUUUGAAAGAUUCACUUUAGGGUAUAUUCCCUUUCAUUUUCUUGUACUUUCCACCCAUUCAUUUCAUUUAUUUUUUCCUUUCUUUUCUUUUGUUUCUUUUCUUUUAUUCUUUCACAUUUUCCUUUUCUUUCUUUUCCUUUACACCUUUUCUUUUUCAUUCUUUUACUUCUACUUUUCUUUUUUUUUUUUGAGUGAAUCCAAAACUUUCGGGAACUUUUACAUUGGGCCUUUAUCCCAACAUAUGGGAUUUUAUUUGGAUAUCACUUUUUUUAAAACCCUAAAUGCAUCCCUUUUUAUCUCCCAAUGUAGAAGGUGAUCUUUAGUUAAGGUUUAUUUUUGAAAGAAUUUUAUUAAGCUCAAAAGGGUAGUAAAGGAUAAAUUUUCACUUUUAUAAAAAAAUGAUGAAAGACGACCAUUUGUCAUUUUAAGCAUGAUCACUUAAAUUGAAGAGCAGUUCCCUUUAGGAAAAUGAACUUGAAGAAAGGUUUUUCAUUGUAGAAUGUUUUUUUUUUUUUGGAUUAUUGGCUUUCUUAACUUUUCUUUUGGUUUUUUCCAUUUUGGGCCUUUAGUGUUUUUUUUGUUUCUUCUCCAUAAUUUUGGAUUUGUCAGGUCUUUAUUUGAAUUUAUUCAAAUUUCUUAAGUGUAUAAUGUCAUAACCAUUUUCUUUGUCCUUUUUCUUUUUUUUCUUCUUUUUUUUGUGCCCUUAUAAUUCAUACAUAAAUUCACCUUGUCAGUGAAAGUUAUUACAAGAAAAAAGAGUUUUGUGGAAUGAAUGAGAAAAAGGAUCAUAUAGAAUAAACCUAGUUAAGGUAUCAAAAUGGUUCGUAUCACUUUACUAAAAAGAGAAUGAAUGGGUUGAUCAUAGCUCAAACUAUCUUAAGGGCCAUGAAGUUUUUUUUCUCUAAUCAACAUGCCCCUCAGACACAUGGGCCAGGCCAAUUUUGGGGUAAAUAGCUAAAAUGUUGGUAAGUCUGAGGUUAUUUUAUAAGACAUAGGGUGACUCUAAUUUUGAAAUUUUUUAGAGCUACAGCAUAAUAUUGACACAUCAAAUUAUUACAUAUGAAUUCUUAAAAAAAUGUCAUGUUUGUCUGAUCUUCUUGGAAUCCAAAUUUUCUUCAAAUUGGUUGUUUCAUUAUUCUUUGCCUUGAAAAAGAAUAUCACCCUUUGAUAUCAUAUAUUACCAAGCAAAAGCAAGGUUUAUGAAUUUAAAUUUAUAGCUUUUGAGGGCUCAUGGAUGAUGAAAUGGAGUCAACUAGAUGACUUAAAAAAUGGAUUUAGUUAUUUGAAAAUUUCCUAAUAAUGACCACCAACUCUUCCAAAACUUAAAACUUUCUUUUUUCCAUUUUUUUUAAUCUUUUUUCUUCUUUUUUUUUUCACUUUUUUUCCUUUUUUUUCUUUAAGGCAUUUCUCUUUCUAUAGCCUUGGUAUUUAACUAUGUGGGGCUUUAUCCAAAUCUACCAUUUUCCCCCUUUUACCAUUUUCUUUUAAAAAAAACCUACAAGUCCAAAAUUAAAAAGAAAUUGAAAACAUCAAAUGAUAAUAUAAAUCCAUGAAACACUUAUAAUACACAAGAUCUAUUCAUGUAAUGCAAACACUCAAACCUGACCUAAAAAUUCAUGUUUCAAAUGGUAUUCUUGAGAUGAAACUCAAACUUAUUUAAACAAAAGUUUCCCACUUGACAUUUCAACUUUAACAUUAUUGACCCUUGACUCCACCACUAUCAAUAAUCAAAACCACUAAUUAGUUUUUUAAAUUUUACGGGAUCUAUAUCGAUCAAAGCUUGAACUGUAUCCUUGAAGGCAAUACAAUCUUUUAUAGAAUGCUUUUUGACCUUAUCAUGAAAUUCACACUUAGCAUUGGGAUCAUACCACUUCAGGUAGGGAGACUUUUUGGGUCUUGCAGGAACAAUAGCAAUCAUAUGAUUUUUGACAAGUAAGGUGAAAAGUAUAAUAUAAGACAUUAAGAAUGAAUGAUACAUUUUGACUCUUUUUCUAUUAUGGAUUUGUGAAUGGCUUGGGUUGAUCUUUUGUUUUAUGAAUGUUAGUGACGAAGGAAUUGGAACACAAGGAUGAGGUAGAGAAUUAUAGUCCUGAGAUGUCGGUUGGGAACAAUACGAUGAUCAUUAGGAAAUAGUCAUUUGUUAACUCUUCUUGUAUCAUGGUGAUGUUUCUCUCAUUUCACCUUUCAAUAAUUCCAUUUUAGGCAUAUUUAUUGAAAAUACUCCCUUGUCUUUCAUUAUGAAUUUCCACAUUAGCACCUAUAAUUCUUCUCUUUUUAUCCUAUCCUUAAUUCGACCUACACCAAAUAACAAAUCAGUAAAUUCUGAAAAUGUAUUACCAAUCAAUUUAUCGUAAUAAAGAGAAAAAAAGGUUUCCAUAAAUAGAAAAUUCAACUCUUUAUUAGUUACAAGUGGUUGAACUUGUGAUGCAAACUUUUUCCAUCUAGCGGCAUAUUCUUUGUAGCUUUCAUUGGGGCUCUUUCUCAUGUUUUGAAGGGCUAAUUAAUCUGAAAUCAUCUCCAAUAUGUGCUGGUACUACUUUAAGAAUACUCGAGAAAAAUCCCUCAAAGUACAAAUUUGACUACUUUCCAAACUAUAAUACUAAUUAGCCACUACUCCAGCCAAACUUUCUUAAAAGGCAUGAAUAAGUAGCUUUUCAUCAUUGACAUACCUAACUAUUUUGUGACAGUAUUGAGCCAAAUAUGUCUGAAGGCAUCCAAUUCCAUUAUAUUUCUCAAAUAUCAAAACCUUAAACUUGGGUGGAAUAACCACAUCUGGAACUAGUUGGGAUUCUUUUCCUUCACAAGAUUUAUCUUUACCUUCAAUAGCUUGAGUCCUUUCUUCUAAGAGAUUAUACCUUCUCUGUUCAUUUAGAUUCCAUGACUACUCUUUUUAUGGGUCCUAAGCUAGAUUUUUUAGGUUGAUCAUUCCCUUGAGCAAAAAGUCCAUCGAUAAUCUUCUCCAUCUCUCCUAUCAAAUCAAUAUUCUCCUAAUCUUUAAAAAAAAUUGCAAGGAUUGUACUCGAAGAAGAUCUUUCUUUUUUAGAGCUUACAUGAAUUGCAUUUUAUUAAAUCAAUACAUAAAUGAAUGAAUGAAUGAAUGCACAAAUGACAAAGCUUUUUGGUGAAAAGUGUGGAAAUUGGAAAAGGGGCAAGAAUUAAAGACAAACUAUAAUUCACAUAUUCAAGUUUGGAAAGACAACACCAUAUUAACAUAAAGAAACAUUUCACCAAUAAAAGAAAUUCACAAAGCAUUUUAUUUUUCAAACAACCUAUCACUUGUAGACCAUCAUUAAUAAAAAAUCACAUCCAUGUUCAUCAUCAUGUCAUCCUUUUUUUAUUGUUUCUAAACUUUUAACCCUUAUUACCAUUGGAUCAAACCAUUUCACAUUUAUGAGUGAUUGCACCUUGUAUUUAAAACCUUCACAAUUCUCAAUAGAGUGUUCAAUAAUCCCACCAUGGUGUUCACAUCUUGCACUUGGGUCAAAAUAUUUUAGGUACAGAGGCUUCAAAGGCUUUAAAAAUAUAAGACAAUAAGGUGUCUCUCAAACAGAUAGGAAAAAAAUUUUUCCUAUGAAAUAGGGAUAGGAUCUAACUAUUUCUUUUUCUUAGGUAAUUUUUGGGUAAUAGAUAAUAGUCCACAAAUUUGGUGUUGAUGCAAAGGUUUGGAGUUGAGAAAUUGGUUGAACAGUUGGUUAGGGAAUGAAAGGUUGGAAAUGUGGAUUUUUUGGAGAUUGUAUGAAGUUUUGGGGCUUGAUCUUAGAUUCUUGGAAAUGAGGUCAAAAAUAGACAUGAGAAGGAUUUGAAUGUGGGUUUAGGUUUGAUAAUAUUUGUUAAGGUUGUAUGAAACCUAGUAACUUCAUCCAAAAACUAAAAUUCUAGAGCUCAUACACUUGCAUGGUCAAAUCACUCAUCCCUUUGAUGAUCCUAUCCAAACCUUCAUUAUUGCUCAAACCACUGAAUGCUUCAACAUACUCAGGAAAUGUACUAGGCCCAACAAGAAUUGGUUGAUCACAACUCUACGAAUUCAUACUUACUUGAGCUAAAGCUGGUAAGUGCCUUAAAGAAGGCACCAAAAUAAAUUCCUUAAGUCUAUCAAUGGUUUCAUCAACUCAGCAACCUAUUUUGUCAUCUCUUGAAUGUCAUAACGAAACUCCUCUUGAUUGCAUUCUAACGCAUUAAUUCAAGCCUUCAAUUGAUCCUCCAUAUAUUUAGUUUCUUAUACCCACUAAAACAAAUUUUUUAUUUCAAAGGUUUAAACCAAAAUGCUUAUGCUAUUACUUUUGUUGAAUGAAUGAGACAAUUUGUGCUAUACAAAAUAUAUCUAUGAAUGCCUGAAUAUGAUAAUGAUGCAAAGAUAUAUACAAAAAUGGAACAACCAAAAAUAGACAAAUCACCUUAACGAUGAAUAUAGAAUGAAAUGAUUAAAUUCCAAAAAGAUGACAAACUCCUAUCCUAAAUCUCUCUUUCUGCCUUUUUUUUUACCUUUUUUUUCAUCUUUUUUUCAAAAAAUUUAUUUGCAUUAUUAUGACCCUUAAACACAAAUUGUAUCAUACUGCCCUACAUAUCCUAAUUUAGGUAAUUUCUAUGAAAGAUAUUGGCAUGGCUUUUAACUUAUGAAUAAUUUAUACAAAAGGUUGACACCACUGAUGGCUCCGAGAUAACCUUUUUUUUUUUACUGAUGACUAACCUAAAACAAACAUCUUUUCUUAAAAUAUAAUGCCCAUAUAACGUAUGCAACAAAAUUAAAGACUAAAUAAAAAUGAAUCAAUAAUCUAAAACAAAUAAAUAAUAGAAAUAACAUAACAACCACAUAAUACAACAAAAUAAUAGAAUAUAUACAAUAUCCUAACUUUUGAUGAUUUUUUAAAAUGGCGCAUGGCUCAACUUUAGGUAGGCUUUCUACAACUCUCAAUAUACUAGGUUGAGGUUUAUUCAUCUAAAGGUUCCAUGAUCAAACCUUACAUCAUCAUCCAUUACAGACUAAUAAGGCAUAUCAAUCCUCACCCAUUAUAAUUUACAAAUGCAAAGAGUUCGAUCUGAGUGGAAAUGUUUUGCUAGCAAAUGCAGAGAUUAUCACUUCAUGAGAACGUAGCUACUUCAUUUUCUCCUUAAAAGGAAUGAGCCCAGAUAUAGAGCUCAUGCAUGUCAGUCAAUAGGCAAAAAAUGUGCAAAACGAUAUAUUAAUCAAAACAACGUACAUGAAUUACAAAUAUCAAAAUAAUAAUAAUGCAAUGUAUGUAUUUUUUUUUGAAAAAUUAAAAUGAAGGGAAUUAAAUUAAAUAUUAAUGAAAAUAAAUUAAAUCCAAAACUUUUGAUAGCACAUGAUUAAAAUUUUGACCUAACUCUCAAAAUAUCUCUAGUAGAGUCGUUAAACUAUCAUAAUGUAUCAGUCCGAAGACUCGAUCACUAAACGUAACUAUUUAAAAUCAAGAAAACACACCACCAAUAUUUUUUUAGGGUGUGAUUGGUCACCCGAAAAUUUUAUCUUUUUAAUAAAAUAAUAAAACAUGUUUAAAGUUUAUUAGAAAGAUAAUUUUUGUCUAUGAAAACAAGAUUAGGUUCGAGAGUCGGUUACGCACAGGGGAAAGAUUAGCUUUCCCAUGACGCCAAUAAAUUUAGUACCAGUUAAUCAUACGCUAUUUAUAAUUUUAGACAAAAAUGGUUUUUAUAUAAAAUUUAAUUAUAAUUCUCUUCAUAAAAAAUAAUAAAAUCAAUUAAAAAUCUUUAUUUAGGAAUAUUAUGAAAAUAUUUAAAUUAAAAGAUUACCUAAAAUUCUCCAACAUAUAGACAUAAUUGGGAGAUAAUUCAUUUUGUAUAAGAUUUACCACAAUAUUUUCUUGAAAAUAAAAAUAAUAUUAUUGGAAAAUGAUAAUUAUUGGUGAUGCUCCAGCACUUAGGAAGAGCACCAAAAAAUAAUAUUCUUUCGAAUAUUAUUUUAAAUUUAUUUUAAAUCCAUUUUUUAAAUAAUAUUUUUCAUAAAAAUAUAUUUAUGCAGAAAAAAAGAUGAUACCAUAAAUAAACAAGGAACAAUAAUAACAAUUUAAAAAUAUGAGCCUAUGAAUUUAAGAUCUUAAAAUCUCAUUUUUAUUUUUUAUUUUUGUUUAAUUUUAUAAUUUUAAAAUUUGAAAAUAUAUUAAAAUUCUUAAUGAAAUAAAAUUUCUUAAAUACUCCAUCAUCUAUGUUACAUUCGAGAUUUGAUUAUUUCGUAAAAGAUUUUCAUACAAAUCCUUAAAAAUUUUUGACAAUUUUGAGGUUUUGGGUAUGUUUAGGGUUGCAAAGUUUGAUUUAGGAUUUUCACCUAGGGUCUCAAGUUUUACCUAAGGUUUAUAGUUUCUCCUAAGGCUUUUGAAUUUCACUUAAGGUUUCAUUUAGGGUUUUAUUCUAAGGUUUCAGAUUUUCUCCUAGGGUUUAGAUUUUCACUUAAGAUUUUCUCCUAGGUUUCGAUUUUAGAAAUUUACAAACUUCUCUAAAAAUCUUCAACAUCUAGGCAGACAUUCGGAGGAAGCUCCUUUUUUCAUAAUUCUUCUAAAAUGAUUUUUUAUUAUUGUUUACUAUUUAUUUAUUUUUUAUAUUAAAGAUUUUAUCAUUUUUAUUAUUUAUUUAUUUAUUUAUUAUAUUAUUUUUUAUAUUUAAUAAUUCCUCAACAUUUAGGUGGCAUUAUUAUUUUUUAAAAUAUAAUUUUUUAUUCCUUCCAACAUUUAGGUAUGGAUUAUUAAAUUUUUAUUACUUUUAAUUAAAUCUUAUAAUUGUUGUUAUUGUUGUUUUGUCUUACAUGAAUAUCAAAUACGUAGAAAAUAAAUUACAUUAAACAUAAAUUAAAACAUGAAAGAUCGCAUAAAAUUAACAUAAGCAUGAAAAUUCAACCAACAAUGAAGUUAAAAAUACAUUGGAUUGAAAUUAUAAUUAAACUUAAUCAACCCAAAAAACAAUGUGCAUUGACAAGAGUGAUACGAAAUGUGCAUAAAAAUAUAUGUUAUUAAGAAUAAACAACCUUAAGCCUCAUAUUCUAAAAAUUUUGUUUAUUAUAUAUGUAUAUAAAACUAUCCAUCCUACUCUAUUCCUUGGACCUUCACUUCUUAUGUUUCCAUGAAGUUUUUAUUUUCUUUUUUUCUUUUUUUUUUUUUUUAAAAGCAAGGAACCAGGACACCAGAAAUGCAAAGAUUUCCUCAUCACAGACAACAUGCAAAUGAAAGCAAUCAUCAAGCAAAAUUUAUUCAAGAGAAAUGAAUCAAAACCAUAUAAACAAGCACAACCGGCAAGUAAAAAGAGAAGAAACGAGCUUUAAAUUGUUUAUGACAAAUAGCAGAUGGAAUGAAACCUUAAUCAGGAGACCAAACCCACCCCCCCCCCCCCCCAAAAAAAAAAAAAAAAAAAAAAGAAAACCGUAAAGCUUUUGUUGACUAAAUUAAAAACAUAAAGCCAUAAGCUUCUGACAACCAAAUCAUAAGCAAUAAAGGAGAACAUGAAUGAUAGCAUAAUUCAUGUGCAUGAAAGCAUACUGGAAAAAAUAAAAAAAAAAUAUCUUGGUCUUCUUUCUUCUCCGGCUACCUCUUAUUUUCCAAAAAAAAAAAAAAUUUCUGCUUUCACGAUUCUUCUUUCUGCUCAGUUUUUUCUGGCUGUUUUCAUUCCUGCCCGCAUGCCCAGUGUUUUGCUUCUUCUUCCCUUUCCACGUCUAGCUUCUCUUUUACUCUUCCUUCGUCUUUUUUUCCUACUUCUCUUCCUUCCCUUCACGGUCACUAUAGGGUUUUUUAGCUACUGGUUUUUUCAUUCCUCUCCUUUUUUCUCUGGUUUCAGCCUUUUUCGUUUUCUGGUUCCACACCCCCCCCCAAAAAAAAAAAUGGCUUCUGCUUUCUCUUGCUCACCUCUCUUUUUGGUUUCCCUUCCCUCAAAUUACUACUGCCAGUUUUUGCUACUAAACCUUCUUUUUUUCUACGUUCCUUCCCUACCAGUUUUCAUUUUUUAGUUCUGCCCAACUCCUUUCCUUUUCUUUGUGUCUUUUUCCUUUUCCCUUGUCCACGCCCUAUUGAUUUCUUAUCAGUUUUCUUUGCUUCAUGUCCCUCCUCCCACUGCCCGCUUCUCACGUUUUCCAGUUUGCUUGUUGCUUCUUUUUUUUUUUUUUUUUCGCUUUCUCGCAAUUGGCUUCUCUACCAGUUUGUUACGCCUUUUCUGCCUCUCCUUUCACUGGUUUUUCUCUUCUCUUCCUCUUCCCCGUUCUUUUUUUCCAGUUUUUCUUCCUUAUUUCCUCCACCCGAAUGCUUUCUUUUCUGUUGGCUUCCUCUCUUCUUUUUUGCCAAAAACUCUCCCUUGGUUUUCCUCUUGCCCGAAUGCCACCCUUUUCGUUGCUAACCUCUCUCAAAACCUUUCUUUUUCUCUUCCAGUUUUCCUCUCCACGUCUCCACGUUUCCAUGUAGUUUCUUAGCCAUCGCCAUAACUUUCACGUGGCUUCCUCUUCAGGUAAUUUUCUUGAACAUUUUUUUUUGUUUUUCUGGUCUUCCCUUCCAUGCAUGAGCUUUAGGCUAAAUGGGAGGAGGACCCCUCUACCAUGCUAGGCCACACGGGCCUCUUUUCAAGCAAGUUUUAAGGCUGAAUGGGCUUCCCUUCGGCCAUGUCUUGGGCCUUCAACAAAAAGCCAUGUUUUAGAGCCUUGAUCUAUGGCCAUUGUUAGGCUUUGCUUUGUUUUUGGCUAACUCCUUUUAUUUCAUUGUGUUUUGUUUAGGCUCUCAUUUAUUUUGGGCCUCACUUUUUCUCUUUUUUAUUUAAUUAUUGUUAUUAUUAUUUUAUUAUUAUAUUUACUAUAUAUUUAUAUUUAUAUUUAUAUUUAUAUUUUUUUAUUAUUUUUGUUUAAUGGUCAAUAUUAGGCCAUUAAUGGGUUUUAAGGAUUAAUAUUUUAUGAGGCCCAUUAUUGGGCCAUUUUGGGCUUUCACUCAGGUCUAAACAAUAGGCCUUAUUAUGGGGCCCACAUUAGACCUCACAUUGAAAUAUUUGAAAAUUGACUAUGAAGCAGGCACGGAAAUAAUGGUCAUGACCCAAUUGCAGAACUAAACCUAAGUUAAAGUGAUAAAAUAUUCUGGAUAAAAUUAGCUAUCUUCAGGAUCAAGAUUCUUAAUGUGAUCCAACGUUUCAGAUUGUUUGCUACCAAAGAUGUGAUUUUUAGAGCUUUUGAAUCAAGUGAAAAGACCAUUUUACCCUUGAUACAAAGUUUUUGGUCUUUGGGUCAUUUUUUUGGAAAUCAAUGCUCUCGUGUUCAUUUUUGUGAUUUUAAAGUACCAAUAAUCAUGGAACAAUAUGAAAUUAAGAUUUGAAAAGUUUCAUAAAAAUCCGACCUUGAGAAGGUAAAAUUAUAAAAUUACUUCAUAUAAGGAUAUGUGAGAGGUGUUGCUUACUUGUGGAACCAUAGUUAGGAAUUAUCUUAGCCUAGGUAAAUUCUUGUAUUUUAGCACUUGUUCAUGAUUUUGCUUUAGUUAUAUCCAUUGUUCAAUCCAUGAGGCAUUCAUAUUGAAUGAAGCAUUAAAGGUAUGUUAUGAUUCUUGCUCAAUCUUGUUUUGCUUAAAGACAAGCAAAAACUUAAGUUUGGAGGUUUGAUUGUACUAAAAUUUUAGCUUUUUCAUGCUCAUUUUUAGUGCAAUUUAAUUCAUAUUUUGGCUUGUUCCGUAGGAUUUUUGGCAAAAUUGCUCCUAAAUGCACAUUAAUCUAAUGUGUGGGUACAAAUGGAGAAAAUAAGGAAUUUUGGUCAAAUUGGAUACACUUUGGAGGAUUUUUGGUGUAAAAUUAUGCAAUUGGCCUAAACUAGUGUCAAUAUGCAAAAUUGACACUUAGGAAGUUUUCUCGAUUUUUCUUGCUCGAUUUUUUUAGUAUUAUUUUAAUAUUAUUAUUUUUAAUAAAAUGUAUGAUAAAAAUGUUCGUAGAAUUUUUGGAAAUCUUGCAAGAAAAAAAGAAAGAAAUGAAAAAAAAUACAUAGAUAUGAAGCAUGCAAGAAUGACGUUGGUGCAUGCUGUAUGGGAGGAGCACCAAAUUUGCAAGGCACACGCUGGUUCAAGAGCACCAAUUAGAUGGACUGAAAUGGAACUUCGGAGAGCUCCUAUUGGCUAUAAAGUGGACUUUUUGGUGUGGCAAAAAUGCAUGAAAACAAGCUUUCAAACCAGUGAAGAGUUUUAAAGCCAAACAGCCAUGCACUAAGCAUAGAAGCAAGGGGGAAAUAGGUCUCUAGAAGCUGACCUCAUUGGAGAUAUUUUGGAAGAUUUUUUCAUUCACCACUUACCUACUUAUAAAUAGGAGUGCAGCUAGCCAUUUUAGAGAGACUUUAGCAUAGGAUUUUAUUUUUCAUGUUCUUUAAUAUCUACACUUUCCUUUACUGUAUUUUAUAUUCUUAGCAACCAAACAGCCCUCAAUCUUCAUGUUUGCCAAUUGAUUUUGAUUACACUUUUACAUUUCCUCAAGUAGUUUUCAGUGUUCUUUACGAUUUUGGCAAUGAAACUUGCAAAUUUUAUUGAUUUCUAGCUCAAAUCUACUGAUUUUUCAUUGAUACUCAAACCUGUUUUUGAAUCUGCCAGUUCUAACCAACCUGCGGUUUUUUGAUGAUAUCUCACGCAAAUCUUGCUUAUUUUUGUUCAAUUUUUUUUCAUAGUUUCCUAAUUCAAUUAGCUACAACAUAUUAAAAAUUCAACUUGAAACUCGCACCACAGCAUUCCAGAUCAAGCUUGGAAAUUUUGGCUGUAUGCAGUGACAGUGCAGUUCCAGUUUUGAUGCAGAAAGUUUGGCAUGGAACUGCUCUCUCCUUGGCGAUCUGUUUGCCUUCUUUCCACUCUAAAUCCUUAGUUUUAUUUGUUUACUUGUUGAUUAUUACGUGAUUCAGUUUAUUUCUUUACAUUUCAUUCCUGUUUGGAUCAUUUUCUUAGAUGAUGUUUUGAUUUUCCAGAUUUUGUACUAUUUUUGAAAUUGAGUUUGUUGAGCUAAUUUCUUUAUUGAUUCAUACUAUUUUCUUGUUGUUUUAGGUAGUUAACUCAUAGAUCUAGGUAAUUCUAGCUUAGAUACAGCUCAUUUCCAUUUUAUGAUUGUAGGUUGAAUUUUUUCUUUAGCUAUAUCAUGCAUUGCCAUUGUUCACGUCAAUUUUGGUUUACUGUUUUGUUCAUUGUUUGAUAAAUCUUCUAGUCAGCUUUGGUUCUACAAUUUAAACUCACAUUUAGUCCUUUACUUAGUUCUUCAUUUAGUCUACUUAAAGUUUCAUUUGUUCAACAUUAGGAGUAAAAUAAAAAGCAAUUUACAGCUUGCGUUCAUUGCUGCAUUUCUACAUUUGUUCAUUACUUAACUAUUUUUGGUUCGUAAUUUCUAUUUGAUUUACUUUUCUUUACAUUCAAUUUAUUCAAUAUUUUUUAGAUCAUGUCUUUAUAUAGGAUGUUAGUGGUUGUUUAGACUCUAGUUCAUGUUCAGUAAACUUUGCAUUUUUUUUAGCUUUUAUUCCUUGACAUGUUAGGCAUUAAAUCUAGUUUUGAUAAUUCCAGGAUGUAAGCGUGAAUUUUGUAAUUGCAUUUCAUGCUUGAUUUUCAAUUGUGCAUUUUAUUUUAGUUAGUAUUUGUUUUUGCAUUUUAGGAUUAGUUUAAAAUUCAAUUGUCAUGCAUUUAUUGUUUAGUGAAAUUUUCAUGCAUUUAGAUAUUGAUUGAAUUUUGUUUUUAGUUAGUUCAAUUUCAUGUUGAUUCUUUGAUCAAACCAACUUUGAAAGGAUAGGGUGAUAAUAAGUACUUAGCCUAGGAAUAUCUUUAACUAAUCUUUAUGGGAUCAACAUCUUGACCUUUUGGUCACUAUUAUUACUUGUACGGUUUAUGCACUUACAAAGUUUUCCCAAUCAAGAAGAUAUUUUUAAAGUUUCAAAGCCUCUAUUUAAAGAAGCUUUCCAAAUAUGAGAUAGUUUUAAAGUUUCAAAGCCUCUAUUUGGAGGAGCUUUUCAUAGUUAAAACUUUUAGUUUCCAAGUUUAUGAGGAGCUUUUCAAAUAGGAAAAUUUUUAAACUUUUAAAAACUUCUUAUAGCCCUUCCCCCCCCAAAAAAAAAACCCACCUCAAGCCUUUGUCCCGAACAAAAUUGAUGUUUUUGUCUUUGCAUUGUUUUUUAUUCUAAAAAAUAUAUAAAGAAGGGCAACUGUAGAUAUCUAAUUUUGUCUAGGAAAAUUCUAUCAAGUUGUGAAGCUUUCAAAGCCCAACCCAGUUCAAAUCCAACAUUUCUUUGACAUUGACAACUUUUCAAAAUCAAAUUUUUGGAUCAAAUUAAUCCGAAUGCUCUAUGUAGACAUUUAAUUUUGUUUGAAUAAUUUUUGGCCUAUUGUGAUGUUCUUAAAGCCCAACCCAAUUUGAAUUAAGUCUUUCUUUAUUUUUGACAAAAGUGCAAAAUUAGAUUUUGGACCAAAUUGACCCGAAUGCCUUGUGGUCAAACAUGGUAAAAAAAAGUCAAACUCGAUUGAAAAAAGUCAAAAUUAGUUGAGCUCAAGCUCAUUGAUAAAAUUCACAACCUAAUGGGAUUAUCAAGGCUUAGAAUUAAUAUUCUUGUGAUUUGAUGCAUUAAAAAUCCUGACUAUACGUCGGAAAGAGUAAAAUUACCAAAAUACCCUUCAAGGGUAUUUUCAUAAUUUUGACCUCCUCAAGAUCAAAAUUUCGUGAAAAACUCCAAAUCACAUUUUAAUAUCAUUCCAUGAUUUUGUAUGCAUUAAAAACCUUGAUCGCACCAAAAAAGGUGUAAAAUUACCAAAAUACCCUUUAAUGAUAUUUUCAUAAUUUGACCUUCCUAAGGUCAAUUUUUCAUGAAAGACUCUAGGAAAAUGUUUUCAUAUUAUUUCAUGAUUUUGGUGCAUUGAAAACCAUGGUCACACCUUAAAAGUGUGAAAUUACUAAAAUACCCAUCUAGGGGGUAUUUUCAUAAUUUGACAAUCCCAAGGUCAAUUUUCACGAAAACUUUUAAAUCAUAAUUUCAUAUUAUUUUAUGAUUUUUGGUGCAUUAAAAUCAUAAAAACAAGGAUGGAAUCAUAGGUUUCCAAGAAAAUCAAGCAAAUUCACAAAAUUGCUAAUAAGGGUAAAAUGGUCUUUUUUUAUGGUUACAUGCAACAUUCAAUAUCCAAUAUUUGGCUAUGUUCUUUUUGAGCUAUUUGAUAUUCUAAGAACUUAGAUCCUAUGGUGAAAGGUGGUUGCUUGAAAAAUAAAUAAGAAGGCUAAAGAAGGCCUUUUUAUGGGGAAUUAAUCCAAAGGUUAGAAAACUAUUGCAUGGCCUUUAUAUUCAUCAUUUAGGGUUGAGAUUAGAGAUGAGGCAACAGCUAAAAUUGGUGUGAACAAGGGACAGGAAAAAAUGGGAAAAAAAAGGAAAAAAUUGCAAAGCUUUGGGAGGUAUAAAUUUACCCUAUCCUCCAUGCAUUUUUUUUUAAUCAUUUUCAUGCAUUUCCGUAUUAGUUCUCCUUGUUGUUUUGGUUUCAUGUGAUCAAACCAUAGCAAAAAUCCACCAUUAAUAGCACUUUAGAGGUUCAGCCAACUUUUGCAUGUCAUUGGCUGAACCUCCUCUUGGUUUAUUUCCAUGUUUUACUUGCUUUGGUUAAUGUAUCUUGAUGGGUUUGAUGUUAUAUUGAAUGUAUUUGCAUGCUUUUUGAUUGCAUUUAUGGAUUGCAUGUUGUGUUUGACUAUUAUACAUGUUUCAAUGGUUUCUUCUUUUAGUUGUUUAUUACAUGUUUGAUGAGAAUUCUUUCACAAUAACAUGUCUUCAUAAGAUAGAUUUCUAUGUGUUUGAUAAUGUCUUGGCUAAAAUAAUGAUAGUAUGUCUAUGGGAAGCCAUAAUAAACAUUUGAACAAGUAUUCCCCAUUACUUGGUCAAACCUUUCAUCAUUGUUUGGUGGCUAACAAUUGAUAAUUUCAGAUCUGUUUGCUCAUGUUCUUAGUUAUUUCUCUAUGCUUUUUAUAUGUUUGACACAAUCCUCAAGGAUUAAAAGUGUUGAGUUGGUAAGUUUUCUAGUGGAUUUCAAUUUGUUUUGUAUGUGUUUGUUUCGAAACCAAAUGGUGGAGACAUUGUUUGAUAUGUGUGGCCAAUGCAAUGAGACUUUAAAAUGGCCAAGAAGGUUUUGGCCUAGCUUCAACCAUAGCUUGGCCGAAUCUUCAUGAUCCCCCCAAACCCUUGGUUUGAUUUCUUUUAACUAGGUUUCACUUGCACAAUUAGUUUUUUUAUGUGUUUGUGAUAUUACUCAAGUUAUAAUUUUCUAUGUAGUUUCAUUUCAUGCAUCAAAGGUCUCAUUUUUACAUUAGCAUCAUGGUUAUUUUGUCACAAGCAUUGCCCAUGCUAACCCUAAACAUCAGCCAAAUUCUAGAUCCCAAGCAAAUCCUAAACCCUUAUUUAAACCCUAAACCCUCACUCAAAUCUUAAACCCCAUGCAAGCCAAAACCAUAAACCCUUUCCCAAAACUAAAACACUCACCUAAACCCUAAACACUCUCCCAAACCCUAAACCUUUAUCCAAACCCUAAAAUCUCACCUAAAUCCUAAACAUUCACCUAAAUUCUAAAACCUAUCAAAACCUUAAACCCCCAUCCAAACCUUAAAUCCUUAUGCAAGUUGACACCCUAAACCUCUCAUAAACAUUAAAACCCCAUCCAAAUCCUAAAUCCUUAUGCAAACUGAAAUCCUAAACCUUCCCUCAAACCCUAAAACCAUAUGCAAACCCUAAUCCCCAAGCAAGCCAAAAACCUAAAGCUCUCCCAAAACCUAAACGCUCACCCAAAACCUAAACGCUCACCCAAACCCAAAACCAUAUCUAAACCCCAAUCCCUAAGCAAGCCAAAAACCUAAACCUCUCACAAAACCUAAACACUCACCUAAACCUUAAAUACUCACCCAAGCCCUAAAUUUGAACCUAAUGCCUAAAUUCCAAACCUUAAACCAAACCCUAAAACUUUCCCAAACCCUAAAUCUUAAACCAAACCCUAAACUUGAAUCUAAUUUCCAAACAUUAAACCAAACCCUAAACCUGAAUCUAAACCUUAAAUGAAACUUUAAACCAAGCUUACCACCUAAACACUAAACUAAAUCCCAAACCCUAAAUCGAUCCCUAAACUCGAAACUAAUCUCUAAAACAACCCAAACCCUAAACCAAGUCCUAAACCCUUAAACCCUAAACUAAACCCCAAACCUUAAAUCAAACCCUAAACCUUAGAGUAAGUCCCUAAACCCUAAAUCCUAAACCAAACCUUAGACCCCAUAUCUAAACCCUAACCAAACCAAGUCCCCUAACCUAAACCUUAAACCAAGACCCCUAACCCAAACCCUAACCAAACUGAGACUCAUAGCCUAAACUCCCAAAGCAAGACCCCUAACCUAAACUUUAUCAAUUUGAAUCCGUAAACCAAACCCCAACCUAAAUUGAGACCCUAAAUUGUCCAUAAACCAACCAAAAUCCAAACCAAUCCUAAACCAAACCACCCUAUCAAACCAAAUUAACCCUAAACCCUUAGCACUUAAACCUUAACCAAUCCCUAAAACCCUUAAACUACCCCUAAAACCCUAAUUCCACCCUUAACCUAUUCUCAUGCAUUUUACAUUACACUAUUAUAUAUCAUUGCAUGUACUAUUAUGUUAUCAUUUAAUUCACACAUUUGCAUUUCAUCAUUCAUGAUCUUAAUUACCAUGCAUUUAUUAUUAUGUUCAUACAUACCAUCCAAAUAUUUUGUGAAUAAAAUCCUUAAAAAAAUACUUUAAAAUAAUAAAAAGAAGGUAAUAUUUCAAGUAAAAAUAACCUUUGAGAUAUGACCUAAAUAUAGGGGGAUUAUUAAUGGUUGUCAUUUAAACAUAAUAUUACUUUGGUUUUGUGGGGCAUUUUGAAAACUCUUAAAGUUAGAGUUAUUUUUGAAGCUCUACUUAAAUAUAGGGAAGUGAAAAAAGUGUUUCGAGACAUAGGAUUUUUCAUCUUGAUCCAAUAAUUUUUUUAUUUACCUAAAAAAUAUAAUAUAAUAAAAAAUGAUUUGUUUUCAAAAUUAAAAUGAUUUGAUUUGCUUAAAAUAAAGAAAUAAGGGAAUUAGUUUUCAAACAUAAAAAACAGAACCAUUUUUACAAAAGCUCAUGGAUAAUAUGCAAUCAAGUGGUAUCGUUUUCAAUGGGUGUUGUAGGGAUGCUAAUUCUUCCCCAAUCGUAACCAACUACUAGACCUAACUUUGAUUUUCACAAACUAAAAUUAUUCUUUUAAUAAACUUUAAAUGUAUUUUAAAUUUUUUAUUAAAUUGAUAAAAUUUUUGGGUGGCUAAUCAAACCCUUAAAAAGAUUGGUGGUUAGUCAUCGAUUUUGAUAUGUUUUGAAAAACCUUUUUGUUUUGUCUUCUCACAUCCAAUGGUUGAGUUCUUGAACCCACACAUUGCAACACCCCAUGGUCAAACUUAGUCAAACUUAAUCAAACAAAGUCAAAUCUAGUCAAUAUCAAACAAACUUGGUCAAGCUUGGGCCAAUCCUUGGAACUCACAACUAAAUAGGAGUAUAAAGAAAUGGGGUUAAUAAUAUUGUGAUUUUGAUCCACUAAAAGCCAUGAUUGCACCAUUGGGGAUAAAAUUACCAAAAUGCCUUUUAGGGGUUUUUUUUUUAUAAUUUGACCUUUUUAAGGUCAAUUUUUUAUUAAAACCUCGAGAUCAAGUAUUUACAUUAUUUUAUGAUUUUUGGUGCAUUGAAAAUCUUGAUUACACCUCGAGAGGAUUCGAAUUAUCAAAAUGCCCUUUAGGGGUAUUUUCAUAAUUUUACCUUUUCAAGUUCAAUUUUUCACAAAAACCUUUAGAUUAUAUAUUGAUAUUAUUUUAAUGAUUUUUAAUGGAUUAAAAACCCUAAUCGCACAUUGAAAAAGUUGAAAUUACCAAAAGUCCCUUUUGGGGUAUUUUCGUAAUUUGACUUUCCCACAAUUGGCUUUUCAUGAAAAGCUCUAGAUAAUGAUUAAGUAUUAUUUCAUGAUUUUUGGUGCAUUAAAAUCACAUAAACAAAGAUGGGAUCAUAUGCCUUUAAAAAAAUCAUGUAAAAGUGUUAAAAAUGUUAAUAGGGGUAAAAUAGUCUUUUCCCAUUAGGUCAACUACACUAGGAGCCACAUUUUGUAUUAAAUUCAUCCUAAGCCAUUGAUAUUUCAAGGGUUUAAAUCUAAGGGUCAAAUGUGGUUGCUUAAUGAAUAAACUUGUAGAAAAUGUGGAGCCAUUGGAUGAACUUUGAUCAAAGGGCUAAGGGAACUUUGCUUAGCCUUUAUAUUCAUCUUAUAGGGUUGGAAAUAAAAGGGGAAGGUAGCCAAACAAUGGCGUGAGGGUGGGAAAAUUAGGUGAAAAAAAGGAAAAGUUAGGAAAAGCUUUGAAGGUAUAAUUAUCUCCUCAUUCACAUGCAUUCUCAUGCAAGCUUUUACAUUCAUUAGUAUUAGUUUUCUUUGAUUUUUGUGAUUUUUCAAAAGAGAAAAACUCUCCUCAUAUUUGUUUUCCUCCAUAUUUCCAUGCUUGAUCCAAUAAAUUUAACCAACCCAAUCAUUGGUAUGGUUUAAAGUGAGAAAAAUUAAGAAACAAUAAUGUUUUCCACUAUUAAAGUUUUGACCAAGCUCUCCCAUGCCAUGGCUAAACCCCCUCUUGAGUUAUUCAUGAAUUUUGCUUCCUUGGAUCGAUGAAUGUUGAUGUGUUUGUGGUUGUAUUGAUUGUUAAUUUCAUGCUAGUUUAUUACUUUCAUGAGCUACAUUGGUUGUUUGGUAAGUAUGGAUGUUUGUAAUACUUUCCUUUAUAGUAGUUUCUUAAAUGGUCCUUUGAUAAUAAAAUGCCUUCAUAAAUUAGUUUUCUAUGUGUUUGAUAUAUGUCUUAGCUAAAUAAAUGAUGGAGUGUUUAUGGAGGGACCAUGGGAAGCUAUUGGCCUAGCAUUACCCAUUACUUGGCUGAGACUUCCAAUCUUGUUUUUCAUGGCUAAAAGUUGAUGUUUCAUGUAUGCUUGAUUUUGUUCUUGGUUAGAACUUUAUGUUUUCCAUGUGUUUUAUAAAAUUUUUAAAGGAUAAAAAAUGUUGAAUGAGUGAUCUUUCUUGAUAAGUUUAACCUUGUUUUUAUAUGUGUGUGUUGGAAAUUAAAUGGUGGAUACAAUCACCAAGGUUUGGCCAACACAAGGGGCGGUUAAAUGGCCAUGCAAGUUUCAGUUUAAGCUCUCCCCACAACUUGGUUGAACCUUGCUUUUCUGUUUGACCCUUGGUUUUUUAUUUAUUUUUAGUAAGGUUUUUGCAUGCAUAUUUAGUUUAUGAUUUGUUUGUGAAUUUGCUUAAGUUAUGGCUUUCACGUUUAGUCCCAUUUCAUGCAUUAAAUGUUGCAUUUCACAUUGAUACCAUGUUCAUUUAUUUUGUCACAAGCAUUAUUCAUGCCAAACCCAAACAUAAACCCAAAUCCGAAACCAAACCCUUAAACCCUAACCUAAACCUUCAAACCUAAGAACCUUAAACUCUAAGCUAAACCAUUAAACCCCAAAUCAAAACCCUUAAACCCCAAACCAACCUAAAACCUAAAACCUUAACUUAGACCCUCAAACCCUAAACUAACCCUAAACUAAUCCCAAACGCUAACUCAAACCCUAAACCAAUCCCAAACCCUAAAACUCAAACCCUAAAUCAAUCCCAAACCCUGAAACUUAAACCUUAAAUCAAUCCCAAACCUAUGUAAACCCUAAAAUAACCCAAAACCAAUCCCAAACCCUAACUCAAACCCUAAACCAAACCUAAACCAAAACAACCCCUCUAUACCCAAAGUAACCCUAAAACCAAACCAACCCAAACUAAAUCUCCAAACCCAAACUAAACUAAAUGCCUACACAAAUUGAGCCAAAACCAUGCUAAACUAAACCAAAACCACGCUAAAUCUAACCAAUCCACAAACCCUAAGCCAACCUUAAACCCAUUCUCAUGCAUUUGCAUUUAAUUUUUAAUAAAUUGUUGUGUACAUUUAGUUCUUGGAAUUGUCAUUGCAUUCGUGCAUUGUAUUUUUCAUUUUCCUUUCAAUUGCCAUUCAUAUAUAAUAUAUCUUUAUGUUAAUGCAUAUCAUUUACAUGUUUCAUAAAUAAAAAUCUUCUAAGAAAAUGUUUUAAAAAUAAUAAAAUAAGGUAAUAUUUCAAGGAAAAAUAACCCUUAAGAUUUAGCCUAAAUAUAAGAGGAUUCUCAAUAGUUAUCAUUUAUGAAAUAUUAUCUUGGUUUUGUGUCACAUUUCGCAAACUCUUAAAGUUAGAGAUAUUUUUUAAAUUCUCCCUAAAUAUAGGGGAGUGAAUGAGGUGUUUUAAGACUUAGGAUUUUUCAUCUUGAUCCAAAAUGAUUGCUUUCUUCUUUUUAAGAAAUCAAAAAUCAAAAUGAUUUGUUUUAAAAAAAAAAUUUAAGAGGACUCAAUUGUUGGGGUGAGUAAAUAAUAUUAAGGAAUCAAUUUGUAAAUAUUAAAGUUAGGGCAAUUUUUACAAAAACUCAAGGAUAACAUGUAAUCAAUUGGUAUCAUUUUUAAUGGACAUUGUGGGGGUGCUAAUCUUUCCCCACUCAUAAUGACUCUUGAACCCAACUCUAUUUUCAUAGACCAAAAAUAUCUUUUUAAAAACUUUAAACUCAUUUUAAUGUUUUAUUAAAAGGAUAAACUUUUUAGGUGGCCAAUCACACCUUAAAAAAAGAUUGGUGGUGACUCUUUGGUUUGAUGUUUUCAAAAAUUGCUUACUUUUUUAUUUUCCUCGUCUAGUGGUCGGGUUUUCGAACCUUCAUGUUAUGAUAGUGACAAAAUCUUUUUAAUGUUUCCCUUAAUUAUAUUGAAUAUCAUAUUUAGACUUUUUCACUCUAUGUUGAUCCUGAAUUGGUAAGUCAAGAAUCAACUAUUUUUUAAUUUUUUAAACAAAGAUUUUUUUUUUAAUUUUUUAAUUAUCAUGCUUUUGUUAUCUUUAUAUUAAAUAAAAAAGGACAAUGAAAGUGAAAGAAAGAGUAUAUAGUUUUUUUUUUCUAUUACUAUUAAGUUACUAUCUUUUUAUUUUUAAUAGUUGAUUUUUUAAUUAAAAUUUAUAUUGGUUUAUAAUUAUCUCAAUUUUGACAAAUUAACCAAGGUAUGUUGUAAAUUAACUAUCAUAUGUAUUUUAUGCAUAUCUUACACAUAUAAAUUUAAUAAUAUCAAAUAAAUAGAUAAAACUAAUCCGUAUAUCGCACGAGUCACAAACUAGUACUAUUUAUAAUAAUGAUGAUAUUAAAUGGUAUAGAUCUUAUUAGAUUCAAAUUUCUAAAAAUGAUAAAUAUUACAGAUUACUUAGAUAGUGAUACAAUUAGUAGUAUAAAACUUAUUGGAGUAAAUUUCAUCAUUAGUUACUGAAUUUAUGCUAAAGUCCCAUUUAGGUCAUUGAAUUUUAAUUUAUCCUAACUAGGUCACUAAAAUUUAUUAAACAUACCAAAAUUGGUCAUCCUAAUAGAUUUUAUUCAAUUUUUGAUAGAAAAAUGACAUAGCUACUAUGCUCAGCCAUAUCAACUAACUAAACCCAUAUAAUUUAAUGAAAGGUUAUUAAACUUUCACUUAAUUUUUAGAUAGGUCACUGAACUUUAAUUUGUCACUACAAGGCCACUAAAAUUUAUUUAGUGUACCAAAUUUGAUUACUUUAAUAAAUUUCAAUCAAAAUAAAGUUAGAUAAAAUCUAAAUAUUAAACUCAACUCAAUAACAUCCAAACUUUUUAUGUAAUAAAAUAUCCUAUCAUACCUCACAUAAAACCAAAAGAAAAAAAAAUUAAGUAAACUUAGAGAAGAACUUUAAUGAAUAUUUGUUUUUCUUGAACUAUUUAAAUUAAAAAAAUAAAUAUUUAAAUAAAAAUAAAGUCCUAACAAUUUAAUUAAAACAUUAUUCAUUAAAUAUUACUAAUUUUAUUUAUAUUAAAAAAUAUAAUUAUUUAAAUAUUUAUUAAAUAUUGCUAUUCUAUUAAUACUAAAAAGUAUAAUAUUUAAAUAUUUAUUAAAUAUUACUGCUUUUAUUUAUAUCAAAAAGCAUAAAUAUUUAAUAAAUAAAGCUUUAAUUAAAUUAUAAGCAUUUAUUUUUUACUUAAAUAUUUAUGUUUGUUAAUUUAAAUAAUGGUAGUAAUACUUCAAGAAAAACAAAUAUUUAUUGAAGGUGUAUCUGUUCCGCAUUUACUUUUUUUUUUUUAAUUUUUUGUGAGGUAUGAGAGGAAUUCUAGUUACAUAUAAAAUUUGGAUGUUUGGUUGAGUUCAAUAUUUAGAUUUUAUCCAACUUUUAUUUUGGACAAAAUUAAUUCUUGUAACCAAAUUUGGUACACUUAAAAACUUUUAGUGACCUUGUAGUGACAAUUAAAGUUUAAUGGCCUAUUUGAAAAUUGGGUGAAAGUUUAAUGACUUUCCAUGAAAUUAUAUGGGUUUAGUUACAUAAUGUGGCCAAUGACGUGCCAUCCAUGUUAUUUUUUGUCAUAAUUUGAAUGGAAUCUGUUAGGGCAACCAAUUUUGGUAUACUUAACAAACUUAAGUGACCCAUCUGGGACAAAUUAAAAUUCAAUGACCCAAAAGGAAUUUGGAUAUAAAUUUAAUAACUAUUGAUGAAAUUUACUCAAACUUAUUGGAUUGAAAGUUCCAAUUAAAAUUUAUAUUGUUAUAUAUAUAUAUAAAUAUAUAUAUUACUAUCAUAUUUUCUCCAUAUAAAUUUAAUUAUUAUUUUACAUUAAUGAAUGUAUUCAUAUAUCUAGUUCAUAAUUCUGCCAUAAAAAAUAAUUGAAAGCACUAUAAUGAAUGAUAAAUAACAUAGAAUAAAAACAUGAAGCAAAGCCAAAUUUGUAAAUAUUGUUAGUAUAUGUUCUACAAGCUAAAUCGAUUUUGGUGAAAAAUAUCAUCAUAUCGUAAUAUUUGAUAUCUUAUAAAGGUCUUGAUUAUUUUAUCAUUAAGCUUAUAUCAAUUUGCUGUUGAUACUUACAUGAUAAAGUCCUAAGAGUAUAAAUAAAGCAUUGCAAGAGAAUUAUAAUGAGAUUGUAAUUAUGAGAUCUUUAUUGCAUAAAAGCUAUAUUUCUAAAAGUUCCUAGUCGAUGUUUUAUCAAUAAAAGGACAUUGACAAAAGCUAUUGAGACUAGCACAUGGUUAUGUUCUUGCUCAUAAAGCAAGUAACUAUUCUCAUAGGUUGAAGUUUGGUUAAAAUUAAGCUAAACAUGUGGGUGCUUGUUAUAAGAGCAAGUUCACUAAACAUAACCGAAGAUGAGAAUGCUAUAUGGUAGUUCACAUAAAUAUUCUCAUGUGAUGGGUGUAUACGUGAUCCUCUAAGUUGAGAUUACUUAUGAUCUUAUAUGAUGAGUGCUAUACUUUGACUUUACUUUACUCAUGGAUGUAAUCAUAAAUGCUCUAGUCAGGUAUAGUUUAGUAUAAC
rnacentral:lncRNA from 1 species